GAGUCAAGGAACUAAUGAUCGUGGGAAUGGUUCCAUGAAAAGAAUUUCCGAAAAGAUCAAGAUAAUUCAAGUAGGUUAAGUUAACCAAUGCAUGGCGAAUCUCACCUACAAGACCACAGGACACAACUUCAAGCUCUGUGACAUGACCACCUGUUUGGUUGUUGCACGUCACUCUACUCCAUUCACAGCAGUUGUCUUGUUCAACUGUCCACGUAGAGAGGCAAUCAUAAGGGUCUUGAAGGAGACCUUUGAAAUGAAGGAGACCAUCUUUCUCCUUCUUAAAACACCUGUUCACAGCACCAUUAUCAUCAUCUCCUCCUCCCACUGCUGCCAAUUGGUUAGCACUUGUAGUCUCCGGACAUAACAAAAGAAGUGAGAAUAUUAUAAAAACACAAGGAUGCAUGGUGUAAAUGCAAAUCUUAAUUGGUGAUUUUUUUUUUUUGUUUUUACUAAUGGAAAGUUGAAGAUGCCCCAUGCAGCUUUAUAUAGUGCUGCCAACUGUGAAAAUGAAGGAUUCAAGUGGAUGGCCUUAAACUGCAGACCUAUUUGUUGGUCAUUUAUUUAAAAAUUAAGAUAAAAUAUUACCCAGCCAAGUGAAAUUACAAUGCAUAAAAUAUUAGUGUAAAUUACACAAAAAUAGAAUGGUUCAAGUAAAGACAACAAUUCUCGUGAGAACGCGUAGGAACAAAAUUCUUUUUUUCCUCUUUUUUCAUCAAUAUGGAAACAUAUUUUAAGGCUAAAAAAUAAUAAAUUCUAGUGUUCUUUAAUAAAGUAAAACAAUAUAUAAUAAAAAAUCAACACCAUUCAUCAAUGAAUACAGUUUUAGAAAAAUAUAUAUAUAUUUUUUAUUUUGGUAUGGAUGUUUAAUUGUAAGGCCUAAAAAAUAGAGAUUUUCGUAUAUUUGUUAAAAAUAAAUAAUUAACAUUCGAUCAUAUGUGAAAACAACAUACUCAUCAAUGAAAUAAAGUGCUAUAAAACACUUCCUAUAUCAAUAUAAAUGUCUAUUUUUACGUCAUAAAAAGAUAUUUUGGUAUACUUGUUUUUUUUUUUUUUUAAAAAGAUAAAAAUAAUUAAGCAAAUUCAUCAAUGAAAACACCGUAUUCGUCAAUGAACAAACUGUUAAUAAAGACUUUGUACAUCAAUUUGGUUAUCUAAUUGUAUAAUCUACAAAUAUAUAAAUUUGGGUAUUUUUGUUUUUAUUUUUUGAAUAUAUAUAUAUAUAUAUAUAUAUAUAUAGGGUUGUAAACGAACCAAACGAACACGAACAAUGUCUUGUUUAUGUUCGUUUGUUUAAGUUAGUCGAACAACAAACGAACACGAACGGAUAAACGAACGAGAUUUUCUUGUUCAUGUUCGUUCGUUUAACAAAUUACUUUGUUCAUGUUCGUUCAUUUAUGUUCGUGAACAUGCUAAAUGAACAUAAACGAACAAACAUAAACGAACANAACGAACAAAGAUAAAAAAAAAACACAAUUGAACAUAUAUGAACAUAAACGAACAUAUAAUAUAACAAUAUAAUAAAAAAUAAUUGAAUAUAGAUGAAUAUAAAUAAACUUAAACGAAUGAACAUAAACGAACGUAAAUGAACAUCAUAAACGAACGUUUACGAGCAUAAAUGAACGAACGAGACCAUUGUUCAUGUUCGUUCAUUUAACUAAACGAACGAUAAUUUUUGCUCAUAUUCGUUCAUUUAUUAAAUAAACGAACAUAAACGAACUUUUAGUCGAAACGGUUCGCCGAACGUUCAGUUCGUUUACAGCCCUAUAUAUAUAUAUANNNNNNNNNNNNNNNNNNNNNNNNNNNNNNNNNNNNNNNNNNNNNNNNNNNNNNNNNNNNNNNNNNNNNNNNNNNNNNNNNNNNNNNNNNNNNNNNNNNNNNNNNNNNNNNNNNNNNNNNNNNNNNNNNNNNNNNNNNNNNNNNNNNNNNNNNNNNNNNNNNNNNNNNNNNNNNNNNNNNNNNNNNNNNNNNNNNNNNNNNNNNNNNNNNNNNNNNNNNNNNNNNNNNNNNNNNNNNNNNNNNNNNNNNNNNNNNNNNNNNNNNNNNNNNNNNNNNNNNNNNNNNNNNNNNNNNNNNNNNNNNNNNNNNNNNNNNNNNNNNNNNNNNNNNNNNNNNNNNNNNNNNNNNNNNNNNNNNNNNNNNNNNNNNNNNNNNNNNNNNNNNNNNNNNNNNNNNNNNNNNNNNNNNNNNNNNNNNNNNNNNNNNNNNNNNNNNNNUAUAUAUAUAUAUAUUCUUAAAAAAUAAAAGAUAACAAAAGAUAGGCAUAUUCAUCAACAAUGGUUUAUUAUUUCUCAUUUUUAGAAACAAACUAUAAGAAAAAUUAGAAAAGAAGAAUUGAAAUAAAUUGCCCCAAAUCAAACGUUCAAGGACUUAUACAUCAUUCGGGCCAUAAAAUACUUAUUUUCCUUUAAAUUAGAACCAUUUUAUAAGGUAGGUGUAAAAUCCGUGUACUACACGGAUUGAUUAAAAAAAAUUAUAUUUGAAGAUAUAAACUUUAAAUAUUUUUUUAAAGAAAAAAUUAAAUAUUAAAAUGUAAAUAUUAAGUAUUUUUUAAAAUAAAAUUUCAAAAUAUAUAUACAAACAAAAUGAUGAAUAAAUAAAUAAUUAAAUUUAUAUUAAUAAAACAAACUAUAGAAAAAUAAUUACAUUUUGACCGGAUAACAUUUUUUUUAGUUUGCCAAUAAAAAGCAACAAAAUUUUAUUAUUUUUUUUUAUAUAGAUUAUUUUGUCUAAAAUGACAAUGAACUUUAAAAAAAACAUGUCAAUUUUAAAUUAUAUAUAUUGAAGAAAACAUAUUAAAAUUUGAAAAUAUAAGGAAAGAAAUUAACGACACAUUAAUUAAUUUCUAUUACCUAAACAUUAGAUAGUUAAUUAAGAAAAUCAAAAAUUACCAUAAAAUAACAAGUGGAAAUUAAUUUUUAAGAAUUAACCACAAAAUUACAUGUGUCCAAAUGCAUAAGAAAUUGACAAGUGGCAAAAAGUUCUUUAUUUAUUAGGAAGGAUUAGAAAAAGAAGAAUUGGAAUAAAUUGCCCCAAAUCAUAGGAUUCAAAAGCUUAUACAUCAUGUGGAGCAUUAAAGAUGAAGAAUUGAAAUGAAUAGCCCCAUAUUAGACAUUCAAAGGCGUAUAUCUUAUCUAGAGCAUACAAAACUUAAUUCCCAUCUCGCAUCAUAAUAACCAAACUAUAAGACAAAUUCGACAUGAAGAAUUGAAAUAAUUUGCCCCAAAUUAGACGUUCAAAGACUUCCAGGCUUUGGAAAUUUGUAUUUUUUCAUUUUGUGAUAUCUUUUGGUCCUCAUGUUAACUCAAAGUGGGGAAACAAAUAAAAAUAAUAAAAAAUAAAAUCAGCCCCUAUGGGCCUAAACGCUGAGUGAUAAAUGAUGCGACUUCAGAGAAUAUUUUUGGAUAAAAUAAGACUAAUUGUUUUUGUAUUUUGCACUGAAUAAACCGUUCAAAUAAGAGCAAAUUGUCAUUUUACCCUUAUAUCUAAAAGAUGGCCAUUAAGAAAACCGAUACCAACCGCUUUCAAUUCUGUUUUGUGGCUUUAGGUUGUGUGGUAUAACAUAUUUCUUUUAUUGAGUUAUAUAAUAUUUCAUGGUAAUGUAUCUUGAUUACUUUUUUACUUAUCACUAAUAUAUGUUCAUUUUUAUGUAGAUUCGUACCUUCCUUAGGUGCAUGAUACCGUUGAUAUAUGUGGGUUAUUUACCCCUUCUUGGGAGCUAUCUGACAACAAUGUACUUCGCAGUGGCUUUAGAUGGAAAUCAUGAACCCCUACUCUUAGCAGUUGGUUUGGGAACCUUAGAGUGUGAAGAAUCAUGGAGAUGGUUCAUGAUGAGGUUAAAAGAUUGUUUAGGUGAGGACAUAGAGGUUGGUUUCAUAAGAAACCUAUGUGAUAAAAUAGACUUUGGUGUUCAGAGUGCCUACCCGGAUUCCUAUCAUGGAUAUUCUCCUAAAGAUAUAGCUCGAAAAAUAUGUGAGUUUGUCGGACAUAACAAUACGGAAGUCGAAUCGUUGUCUUGGAAGUCAUGCAAUGCAUAUAGCGUUGAUGAUUUUUACUUGUGUUUGGAAAGGUUGCAAAGUACAUGUAAGAAACCACCUUUCUACACCUUGCUUAGGAGUUCAAUUUACUGGCUUGACGAUAUACCGAUUUCAAAAUGGACACGAGCAUUUUUCCCAAAAAUACGUUACAAUGUUAAAUCGAUUGACGUCCCUGAAAUUUCGCAAAUUAUAUCCAUACGUGAGUUUCCUAUAACAACGAUAAUUAAGUUAAUCACUACGUCGAUACAAUCAAAGUAUGGUGAAUGGGCUGAAGUGGCAGGUAAGGGAGAUUGUUAUAUUUAGUUUUUUUAUUGUGCUAUUAUUUUUCUAAAAUUUUCAAAUUUUACAGGGAGGUUGUCUGGUGGGUUGACCCCUUACGUUGAGAGUAAGGUUCAAAAAAGUCUCAACAAGUCUUAUAAUUGUAAUGCAAGACGUUUGUAUGGGGAUACAUUUGAAGUCGAUGACAAUUUUGCCACCACCAACGUACAACUUGAACGAAGGGUAUGUAGUUGUGGUAAAUGGCAAAAAAGCGGUAUACCAUGUGGCCACGCUAUAGCAUGUCUAAGAACCCGUACAUCUGAAUCCAUUCACAGAAUGGUUGAUUACAAGUUCACUAAUUAUGUGUAUCGACUUGCAUAUGGAUCUGAGUUGGUGAAUACUAUACCAUCACAUGUGCAUUGGGAAAUACCAAAUGAAACGGUGGUCCUGUUACCUCCCUCAAUGCAGUAGUUAUUCAUGUAGCACCUUUAUAUUUUAUGUAGUAUUAUGUAUUAGUUUUUUAUGUACCCCGUUUUUAUUUUAGUGUUGUGUUACGUAUUAGUUAUCCAUGUACCCAGUUUAUAUUUUAUGUCGUAUUAUGUGUUAGUUAUUUAUGUACCCCAUUUAUAUUUUAUUGCGUUCUAAAUAUUGGCUAUUGAGGAAACAACAUACAUUAAAAGAAAUGGACGUUUAUUAAAUAGUAACGACUAGACACAUACAACAACAAGCAACUUAAAUAACGAAAAACAAUUAACUUAACCAACAUGCAUAUUAAAAAUAAGGGACAUUCUUUAAAAGAUUCCAUGCAUCUAAGUGGGUAAACUCGCUACCAUCAUAUUCAAAACGGUAUAGUUCCAAAGCCACCUGUCGUAGAAUGUCUUCAUCCGUAUUUGCAUGUUCGUUAUCCAACUCGUUAUAAAUACGUUGAAAUUGUUUCACCUUCAUUUUCAUAUCCAGAAACUUCGCUUUGACAUCUCUUCUUCUUCGAUAUUGAGUGCGGUUCAUUAAAUGGUGAAACAAAUGACAGACACGAGACCAAAAUGAUCCAGCACGAACUUGUGGGGGACCCGGUGGAAAAUCCACCUCUACAGUUGUAAUCCAAGCUUGAACCAAAGCGACCUCCUCUGCGUUCCUCCAUAUAUGUGGUGAGUCCAUAAUUGCAAGGGGGGAAGUAAUACGAUACAAUUACAAUGGAUAUUAAAAACUAUUUAUAACAACUCCUUAUUUUCCUGGUGCAAUGACUUGUCAAUUCAAGUAGCAAUGUAUUGUGUUGUCAUUUGACGGGGGAUGACUUGUCAACUCGAACAUUGAUCUGUUGUGUUAUAAGUAUAGUACACUGCAUUCGUCAGUUAAUUUUGACUAUGAAUUGCAGACAUAUUAGAAGAUUGGACUGCGAUUUUGUGUAGAAACUACUAUAAAUUGACCUUAAGUUACAUGCAANUUUUAGAUUCUACUGUCACACCCCAAAACCAUUGAACGGUGGAAACGUUCUGGGGCGGAGGACGUCAUGUACAGUAUCACAACAAUGAAAAGUAGUAAACAAGCAACAACAUCAUCCAUUGCAUUAAUAAUAUAAUUUUGAUACAAGUGUGUUCUGUCAAAUUUUGAUAAACACUAAAGCAUAAAUCAAAAUGAAAAAUGAGUCUUGAACAAGCUCCAUCUUCCUUUCUCCUUGCAUCGGUACCUGUCUAUGAUGACCUGAGGAUACAAGUAAUUUUGAAAGAGAGUAUCAGUUUUAAAGCUGGUGAGAUCAUAAGUAAUUUUAGUGUCUUAAUUUGUAUGAAAAUACUUGUAUGUAUUUGAAAUGUAAGUAUUUGUAUGUAUACGAAUUGUAAGUAUUAAAAAUGUAAAUGAAUUGUAAGUAUGAAAAUGUAUAUGAAUUGUAAGUAUGAACAUGUUUGUAAAACAACUGUAAACGUUUGAAAAACCCUAGAAAUCCCUAUGAUUCCUACUAGUAACAAAAGGAGUCUUCUACCAAGACUUAACUGCUCUGAAUGUAGUCUUCUACCAAGACCUAACUGUUCUGAAUGUAGUCUUCUACCAAGACCUAACUGUUCUAAUUGUAGUCUUCUACCAAGACCUAACUGUAAUAGUAUUACCCUUUAGUACUCGGGCAAAUAACAAUGUUAACUGAAGACAUCCGUAGAUGUACAUUUACCUCUGUUGCUAACAGCUGGGUAUAGGAAUAGUCAGUCUCCAAAAGUAUACCUGUAAUGGUAUCAACCGUUGACAUCCGUGGAUGUGCUUUUACCUCUGUAGCUAACAGAGAUUCUAGGAAUGGUCAGUCCCGCAACGUAUCCUUGGGUACUAGGAUAUUAAAUCCAAUUUAUCUUGUCGAUUGUGUGAUUGAAUCACAAGGUAAAGAUAAGAACAAGGAUUAUAUAACAGAAUCUAUUCAUAUAAAGUGUACUAGUAAUUCCUGUAAGUGUACUCAUGUACAUGUGACCAUAUCUAUGUAAUAGUAUAGUAAGGUACUGUAAUGUUCUAGCUGUAGUGUACGUGCUCUCUAUCUAGUAAGUAUAGUAAUGUAUUGUAAUGUUCUAGAAAGUAAGACUCAUGAAUGAACUGGCUCAUUGUAUAAUAUUUCGUUCUAGUAAUGGUUCUAGUAUCUUCCUAAACUACCCCUAUGGUAGUUUACUAGUAAUCUAACUGGUACGUAUGGACAUGGAUGUAUACCCUUGCUACCCAAGGGCAUAGGAUGAACUGGAAGGACCUUUAUGACUAUAUAUGUAUAUAUGUUAUAUAACUAAUAUUUAAAUGACCUUCGGACGAGUACCCGAUAUCCCCACAGACCACAUCUCAAGCGCGAAAAGGAAAUAGGGUGGAUAGUCGUCCUAAGUCUUUUAAAUAUUUCUUAUAUAACUAUACAUAUAGAGGCAUGCAAUUUAUAAUAUAAAAGCAUAAAAUAAGUUUUGUAAAACCUUUGAACAUAAUUAUUAUCUAAGAAAAGAUCGACUUGAUGUCAAUUUAUAAAACGUUUUGAAGGCAUGGGUUUGAUAAAACAACUUUAGUAUAAGGAAACUUUUGUUUGAAUCACAAUUGUAAAUAAGUUUGAAAAGUAAUAUACAGAGUAAAAUGUACAGAGAAAUAAGGAGUUUUAGACACAUAAAGUGUUUAUGAAAUACAUUUGAAGGAAACUGUUUAGUAAAACGGCUAAUGAGUAGCCAAUCAUUUGAAUGCUGCUUAUUAAUCACAUGUGAUUGAUAUAAUAAUUAGCAUAAUUCUACUUGUAUCCUCCCCCAUAAAACAUUUAAAAAAUAGUUUAAAACAUUGAUUAAGGGGUAUGAACUCACCUGUAGUGAGUGGUUCUGAUGAAAAUGUUGGAUCAGUUGCUAAGUAUCAAGUGGUGACUUGAGUACACACGCGAAUCCUAUUUAGCAUAUAUUGGCAUAUAUAUGAAUAUAAUUAGUGUUAUGAACGACUGAAAUAAUGAUUUUGGAACCACCUUAGGGACUACUAAACACUUAUAAUGAAGUGUUACAAUCAUAUAUGAUUGUAUGAGGGUUUAUAAGGCUAUACAAGAGGGUGUAUGGCCAAAAUACACACUAUAUGUGUGGGGCGGGCCUAGUGUGCUGCCNNNNNNNNNNNNNGGCCAGAUGGUGUUCUUGGUACCUUGUAUGAAGAUCUUCAAGGAGAAUGGAUGAUACUUGAGAGGAUUUCGUGUUCUAUGCUUGAAGAAGUGAAGGAAGUGUUCAAAAAUGACUAAGUGUGGUAUAUAUAGGUGGAGUGUGCGGUUGGGAAGGGUGUGAGGCCGCAAACACAUGUGUAUGGCCGUACACUCCAUGUGUUGGAGUGUUUGGCCUCUUUUUGAUUCCUACACUUUGAGUUAACCCAUUUCCACACUCCAACAUUGAUUAUAACACGUUUAGAACGCUCCAAUAGACCCUAAAUGGUACUACAAGAUAGCAAAAUGAGUCUAUUAUUGAUAAGAAAUGAAGAAUGCAAGCUAGAAAUUUUCGGGUUGUCACAUCUACUCUCUUUGUUUCAAUCAAAAUGAGUUUUAUAUCAUGGAGCAAUGAAGAGUUCUUGGUUCUUACACGUGCUUAUAUUCAUGUGUACGAGACAAGCAAGUUGAACGAUCCAAUGUUUUGGAGCCGUUUAACCAAUAUUUUCAACACUGAAAACCGAAUGCCUACAAGAAACGAUCGUGACGAACUAGACAUUUUAGCAAGAUGGUAAGAAAUGAAAACCGAAGUUCUAUUAUUCAACGAUCUUUAUACGAAAAUUGACGACACCCGUUUAAAUGCUACUGAGGAGGUCAUCUUGGAAGCUGCUAAGGAGGAAUACAAGUCAUUAAGUGACGGGUUGGAAUUCCAGUUUGAAGCCCCUUAGAAUAUUUUGAAAUAUAUCCCGUUUGUUUAAAAUCUAUUUUAGUUUAUUAUGUGAGUACUAGGUUAUUUUCAUGUAUUUCGUAUGUAUUGGAUGCAUCUCCUAUGAUUAAUUUGAAUUAAUAAACGCCCAUUGCAUUAGUUUUCACAAUACAUUAGAAUACAUUACUAACAAGAAUUCCAUGAACCAUUACAAACAUUACAACAAUUAUAUGAAAAACAACGACAUAAUACAAACAAAGCAUUAAUGUAAAACACAAGUGCAUGGGUUAUUCUUAACAUAAAUUAGAGCGGUCUACAUGAAAUAUUGUUUAUUUUUAACAACCUUCCAAACUUCCUCAUAUUCGAAGUCUCUACCGUCAUGCUCACAGAUGUAAAAAUCUGUAACAACUUCCAAGAACUCUUCUUCAUCCCGAUAACGAACAUUGGUACUUUUCACAUAAUUACAGGCUCGAUUGAACCAUGUCACUUCUUCCUUUACAUCAAUCCACUUAGUAACAACAUCUGAUUUUUAUCUUUGUUGUCCUUCUCCCAUCUCAUGGUUAAACAAAGAUGUUAUGCGAGUCCAUUCAUCACCAAUUAGGCAAUGCGGGGGAGCAAGUAACGAUACACCAUCCUUAACACUUAGCCAGCAUCGUGUAAGAACUAACACCUCGUUUGUCGUCCAUGGCCUUUCAGAAUUGGAACCAGGUACUUCAUUCGAAGAACUUGCUGCAUUCGACGACAUUUCUAGUUAUGGGAGUUCGUUUCGUUUAGGUGAUUUCGGUGUUUGGUUUUUAGAUCUUAAAUAUCUAUUUAUAUAAAAAAAUACAGGACUAUGAAUUAAAACUUUGAAUAUGAAAUGGUUGCACUUGGACUACGAUUUUCAGCUUUAUGCAGUGAUUUAUCAUGUCAAACUAUCAUUUAUGUCUUGUCACUUAAGGGUUCCACUACGAUUUGCAGGUUACUACAGUGACUUGUCAUUACUGUCUAGUCAUUUCAAAGUUGGACUUGUCAUUACUGUCUAGUAUGUAUAAAUACCACUUAUAGCACAAGUUUAUUACAAUGUCGACUUUAUUAUGAGUUCCUCACACAAAUUCGAAGUUUGCUCAUGCAACGAAGUAGAUUGUUACUACUGUGAUUCGGUAGACCCUUUUUUUACACCCUCUUCAGCCGGGCCAUAUAUGUCACAUGAAAAUUUUGAAGAAUUAAAGAAGGCUGAAGAACAACAAGAAGAGGACAAAGAGUCAUCCCGACUUCUCACUCAACUUGCUAAUGAUAUUGAAUCGGAAUGCAAACAAGCUCAAGAAUGGAUUGACCUCAAUAAAAACAAAAUCAAAGAGCAUAAAGAUUGGAUAAAAAAGAGUAAGAAGGCAAUCAAAACGACUGAAAAACGGCUUGCUGAGAAGGAUGAGCAGUUGAUACACAUUAUGGUAAAAAAGGAUCGUUUCGAAGACAAAAUGAGAAUUAGGGAUGACUAUAUAACAAUGGAGAAAGAGAAGUACCCAUUGUAGUACCCUGAGUUUAAAAAUUAGUUACAAAAUUUUUGUAAUAUUAUCAUGAUACAGAUUAGGUUGUAAAAGGAUCGUUUGUUGUUUUUUUUAAAUAACAUGUUGUAAUUGUUAAAAAAAUCUGCAAACUCUAUUUUAUAAUAUAAAGGCUUCAUUAAUUGUUAUAAUCAACAAACUAAACUAAAAUAUGAAAGCAUAGCAAUGUCUUGUAAGAUUUAAUAAAAAUAUUACAAUACAUAAUAAGUUAACAACUCGUCAUUACUCUUCAUUUCAAGGUUGUUUUAUAUCAAAAUCAGUGUUAUAAGUUUGUGAGCAACUCGUUGAACCACCAAUAUUAAAUGCCAUUUCUGCAGUAGAAAUUAUGUGAAGUACUCCACUACAGGACGCCCUUCCAGUACAAUUAUUUCUCGUGUGUCCUAGUUGACCACAUGUAGAACACUCUUUUAUAAUUGGACCCUCGCCUUGGGAUGGAAUGCGGUUUGUGUUUCUUGGACUGCCUGGAUGACGUUUAUCCAUUAUAGAUGGCUUAACAAUCAUCAAAUCAUCAGGGAUCUCCCAUUCGGGUGGCUUUGGCAGAGGGUUUAUUGAUUCCUCAUAUGUUUUCCUCAGUGUUUUGGUAAAGUAAGCAUUUAAUGCAUACCUCGAGCAGUCUUGGUAUUUGUUGACUGUUAAACAUCUUCUGACAUGACCACAAGGUAUCCCAUCAAGUUGAUAAUGCCUACAUGUACAUGUCAUAUGUUGGAAAUCAACAAUCACAUUUUGUGCCCUCUUUUUGACAUCGCAUUUCGUAUUUGAGAUCAUGCGAACAUCCCAUUUAGUAAAAGUUUUCUUGUUUUCUUUUACAACUUCAUCCGCCCAAGGGGUAAGUAUUGUUGUUGCUUCCGCUAAAAAAAGAGCCAAAAUGAAGAAGUUAAGAUCAAUAACAUCAAAAUUAAUAAAACAUUAAUAUUAAAAAUUUACUUAAUACCUGCAAAGUUACGUCUUUGAAACCACCAUUGUUGCAUUGUAGCACGAAAAAAAUCGAUCAACAUAAGUAUUGGCACCUUAAGUGCGUGUCUAGAUAAUGCAUUUAUAGACUCCGCACUGUUGGACGACAUAAGAUUGUAUCGGUUCCUUUAAAAUGUGCCCUUGACCAAGUUUCUGGAUUUAUACUUUUUAAGUACUCCCAUACUGGUUGUUUUGUCUUUUUCAUAACAUCCAUGACAGCAUCAAAAGCAUCAACUGUGUACGCCCUAUACGCCUCCCAAAAAAUUCCUUUAACUGUCUUACUCUUGCCGAAUCUAGAUACUAUGUUGAAAUACAAAUGGACACCACAUAUUCCAUGAUGAGCGUGAGGAAAAAUGUUGGCAACGGAUGUUGCUAUAGAUGGAGACCUAUCAGAUAUAAUUGUAAGCUCCUGCAUAUUUCCUAUGCAAUCACGUAGUUUUUGAAAAAACCAUGUCCAAGAAUCGGUACACUCAUUUUUGCAUAUACCAUAUGCAACCGGUAAUAUUUGAUUUUGUCCGUCCUUAGUAACUGCAAGUAGCAUGGUACCUUUGAACUCGCCCUUUAGGUGAGCUCCAUCUACUACUAGGGUCGGCUUACAAAAAUUGACAAAAGCUCGUACCUACAAUACAUUGUAUAUCUAUUCAAAUACACCAAAAUAAAUAUUAAAAAAAAAUUAGGACAUGAUAAUACUAACCGAGCAACCGAGUGCGACGUACAAAAACUCAAACCGAUCAUCAGCAUCUGUUUUAANAUCAUCAACAUCUGUUUUAAUAUGUGUCACCGUACCCGGAUUAUGUUUGACCAGAUUGUGAUAAUACGCCGGAAGUUUGGUAAAAGAAUCCUCUUUCGUACCCCUUAACAACAACAAUGCAUAUUGCUUCGCACGCCAUGCCUGAUGGUAUGAGAUAUCGAUAUUGAAUUGAGCAUUCAUAUCAUUAACAAUAUCUUUUCCCCGAUAAACUCUACUAUAGUCUUCAGCCAAAACAUCAGCAACAUAUUCACCCAAAACAUAUUUGUUUGCUUGUCGAUGAUUAGGUUGCAACAAUGUUGAAGAACAUGUGUGUACAUCAACAAAUUUAUUCACUUGGAAAAGUCCAUCAGUAUUUUUAAUUGCUUUUGCUCUUAGUAACCAAGAACAAUUUUUCGAAACACACACAGCUUCAUACCUUGAUUUGGUGGAUCUACUUGUCCUCGUCUGGAAACCUUCUCGAAGACAUUUUUUACCAAUACACCGCUUUAAAAGUUCUUUGUUUUUAAAUAUACUCUCACAUUGAAUCUUUUGAAGAUUAAUGUCUACCAUCUGUGUUGGGAUAUCUUCAUUAAUAUCAACUAGGCAUGCUGGUACAGGGGGCAUAUCGUGAAAAAGGUUAUCGGGAAACUUAGCUUUAACUUCAUCACCCAACUCAUCUCUAUCGGAAUUGCUUUGUAGCUCGAUUAUAUCUAACGUACAUCACCAACAUCAACAUAAUGCCCGUAAACAUGUUUUUUUUUCAUUUUUUUUACUUGAUUUUUUUUCUUUUUACUUUUAUCUACCACACGCCUAUUCGUAACUUUAACUUCUUAUUCGGAAACAUCAUCACAACGACCACCCACAUCAUUAAGAUAUGUACCAACAUCAUCAUCACCAACAGACUUGUAAUUCUCAGGAUCCACGUAGUGAAUAGGUGAAUAACUAACAUUAACAUUUUCAGCAACACUGUGAAACUGAGGUACACUAGGAGUAUUGAAAGUACCUAUCAGAUCGUUGCUCCCUUUAUAACUGCAUAAAAUUACCAACAAGCUGAUUUCCAGUUUGACCACCCCCAUUUACCUCAUCAACUUCAUCAACCACCACAAACACUUUCACAACCCUUCCUCCACUACAUUUGAUUACGUUUAUCAACAUUCUAACAUCCAUGUCUUCAACUAUAGCUAUAUAAUAAUUUAAUUCAGGAUUAUGGAAAUGAAGACUAAUUCUAUAUGUGUCUAACAAACCAAUUUUGCUUCUCACCAAAGAUAAAAAAUCACNNNNNNNNNNNNNNNNNNNNNNNNNNNNNNNNNNNNNNNNNNNNNNNNNNNNNNNNNNNNNNNNNNNNNNNNNNNNNNNNNNNNNNNNNNNNNNNNNNNNAUCAUUCUCAUUUCACAACUCCAAAUCCUUUUUUCAUAAGUAAAAAAAUAUCAAAUUCUCCCUACUUAUAGAAUAUGCUAGAUUCUAAUAUUCUAUGCAAUCAUCCUUUCGUAAUAUCACUAACCAAAGUCACAAAGACUAUUGUCAAUGAAAUUACAAAGUCUUUUAUCGGAGAUUGUUACAAUACAAUUCCUUAGAUAUGAUGUCUCUCACUCAAAGUACAUUCCUUCGAACAUCCUUUUGCACAAAAGUCUCUAAUCUAGACAUAGAUUUUCAAUAUUCAAUUCCUAGUAUGGACACGCUUCCAUAUUUUCCAUAUGACAACUCAUUCUUAAUAGAAUCUUAUCUAUUCNAUCUAUUCAUAAUAAUGUCGAUAUGGUCCAUCCAAUACCAUGCUUCCAACUACUCACAAGCAACCAAUCCUCGUCGAACUUUGGAUUGUCCUUUGAUAGUUGUUUAAUUAUUUUAGCCAAAACCGAUUCUAGUCCCUUUUCCUCUAAAUGCGCUAGACAUUUGGAAAAUUUUAAAUGGUCAAACAUUAAAGCAUUUGCAAUCGAUCCUUUACCCGAAGCGUAUGGGACAUGAUGCAUAAUGUUUUAUUUUCUAUGUUCUCAAAAUUCGAAUUUUGAAAAGGAAUGUCGUAAUCAUAAUCGAAAUUUUAAGAACACACUAUGUACCUUUGACUAAAUUUAUUAACAUUUCUCAACCUAAGCCUUUAGAUUUGAAAUAAAGCAUAAUAUUCUCUCCCUUAAUUAUAGCAAAACAACUUUACAACCUUUACGACUUUGCAAGGUAUAACUCUUGUUUUCUAUAAUUAAUAUUGCCAACUUGCAAAACUUUCCAUAAUAAUCAUAAAAUCAUAACUUUUAUGCUCCCACUAUCAUGAUGAUUAUUAUAAAACAUAACACUUAUGCUCCCACUAGCUUCGACAUGUAUUCAUAAACAUCUUAACUUUCAGAAAAACAACACUUAUUGAAUUUCUUAAGUUCAUGUUUCUAAUACUUAGUGCUUUGAUAAUCUUUUAUCAAGGCUUCUUGAACUUGUACACCUUUGCCUUUGAUAGUUCAUAUGUGUGUCUAAACACUUAAGACUAAUUGCCAAACCUCACAAUUCAAAUUAUGGAAAGGAAUACCGUAACCAUGAUUGAAUUCAAGAAUGCAACUUUACAAUUACUAUCUUCUUAAAAUCUUUCUUAGUAAAAGAAUUUCCUCACAAUCAUUUUCAUGAAGGAGGAAAUCUUAUGACACUUAGAUUUUAAACGGUGUAUGUGUUUCUAUCCAUGUGAAUUUGUUAAAACCAAAGUUUACGACAAAUUCAAACUCAUAUGGACCGAAUUUUCUUAAUCUUGAUCUCUUGCCUUAUGGUAGCACAGCUGCCCACCACGUCUUCCAAGUAGUUAAGCAUCUCACCUUUUUCCUAUCAAUGUACCUUUCAUUGAUCAAGGUGCUUUGCCUUUUAUGCGUUCAAAAUGAGAACUCAUAGAACUCUCAUGCAUAAUUAACUCGAUAAGAUUGGCACAAAAUCAAAAUAAUGUCAUCACAAUAGCUUGUAAACCUUAACUCGUGUGCUAAUGAUGAUCAAUAAGGUUUAUUUAAUUUGUUCUUGAAACCUUUCAANNNNNNNNNNNNNNNNNNNNNNNNNNNNNNNNNNNNNNNNNNNNNNNNNNNNNNNNNNNNNNNNNNNNNNNNNNNNNNNNNNNNNNNNNNNNNNNNNNNNUUAACUUGCCAUCUCCCACCGGUUACAAGACAAACCAAAUAUUCAUUCAUUUUUUAGAGCGAACUUUAGAGAAAUUUCCUAAAUAAAUAACAACCAAACUGAUAAUUUUCUACAAAACUUUUUAUAUAGCAACAUUAUUUCAUAGUCAAACCAAUUAAUUUCAUAGUCAAACUAAAAAAAAUAAUAAUAAUCAUUAAAAAAUAACCGCAAUUUCGCAGAUGGAAUCAGAGUAUAUUGCAGAUGGGGCUAUUCCAUCUUCGAUUUUACCCUACAAAUUAAAUAUAUAUAGAGAAAAAAAUUUUAAAAAUAAUAAAAUAAACCACCUACGAAUGUACAAGCAGCUAAAGCAUAGUUGUGCUUUAGCUGCUUGUACAUUCGCAGAUGGAAAGCCCAUUUCGCAGAUGGGACUAUUCCAUCUGCGAAUUUCGUGGUUAUUUUUGCAACUUCGAUUUUUUUGGCUAUUUUUGUAAUAUAAUUAGUGUAAAUGGCUAUUUUUGUCAUUUUCUCCUUCUAAAUUUCUAACUUCCCUAACAACUAAGAAACAUGGUUAAACAUGUCUCCGAUGNAAAAAAUCAUGAUGAAUAUGAAUGUGUAAAAAUUAAGUAUUUUUUAAAGUAAACUUUUGAAAUAAAUACAAUAAAUAGAAUAAACCACAUUGACCAUUUAUGUAAUUUGUCUUAAUUAAUAUAUACUGAUAACACUAAUUAAUAUAAAUUCACAAAUAGAAUUUAUUAAAUAGAAAUAAGAACUCAUAAAUGGAAGGUUUACUACAUACAUUAAUUCACAUUAAUUACUAUGAGGUGACAUUUAAUAGGUGGGAGUUCAAUAAAAAUGAAAAAAAAUACAAAAAUGACAAGUGGAAAAAAAAUAAUUUAAAAUUCUAAGAAAAUGACAUGUGGCAAAUUCAAUAAGAAGUUGACAUUUGACAAAAUGAUCUUUAUUUAUUAGGGUACUAGGUGUGAAACUCGUAUAUUAUACGGGUUGAUUUAAAAAAUGAUUAAACUUAAAGUAUAAAAAUAAAAUAUUUUUUAGUGUACAACUUUAAAAUAAGAAAUAAAGAAACGUAUUUAUUAUAAUUUAAUAUCAUAUAUAAAUACAAUUUAAUAUCAUAUAUAUGAUAUUUAAUACUUUACAUAUAUAAAUAUAUGACUUUAAUUAAAAAUUAAAACAAAUAAAAAAUUGACAAGUGGAUAAUAUUUAUUUCAAAAUUACCACAAAAUGACAAAUGUCAAAACUCAUGAGAGAUUGACAAGUGUCANUGAUGAAUACAUAAUUCAAUCUAUACGAAUAAAAAAUAUUUUCAUGUUUAAAAAAUCAUGAUGAAUAUGAAUGUGUAAAAAUUAAGUAUUUUUUAAAGUAAACUUUUGAAAUAAAUACAAUAAAUAGAAUAAACCACAUUGACCAUUUAUGUAAUUUGUCUUAAUUAAUAUAUACUGAUAACACUAAUUAAUAUAAAUUCACAAAUAGAAUUUAUUAAAUAGAAAUAAGAACUCAUAAAUGGAAGGUUUACUACAUACAUUAAUUCACAUUAAUUACUAUGAGGUGACAUUUAAUAGGUGGGAGUUCAAUAAAAAUGAAAAAAAAUACAAAAAUGACAAGUGGAAAAAAAAUAAUUUAAAAUUCUAAGAAAAUGACAUGUGGCAAAUUCAAUAAGAAGUUGACAUUUGACAAAAUGAUCUUUAUUUAUUAGGGUACUAGGUGUGAAACUCGUAUAUUAUACGGGUUGAUUUAAAAAAUGAUUAAACUUAAAGUAUAAAAAUAAAAUAUUUUUUAGUGUACAACUUUAAAAUAAGAAAUAAAGAAACGUAUUUAUUAUAAUUUAAUAUCAUAUAUAAAUACAAUUUAAUAUCAUAUAUAUGAUAUUUAAUACUUUACAUAUAUAAAUAUAUGACUUUAAUUAAAAAUUAAAACAAAUAAAAAAUUGACAAGUGGAUAAUAUUUAUUUCAAAAUUACCACAAAAUGACAAGUGUCAAAACUCAUGAGAGAUUGACAAGUGUCAAAAAAAACCUUCAUUUAUUAAAAAAGAUUNNNNNNNNNNNNNNNNNNNNNNNNNNNNNNNNNNNNNNNNNNNNNNNNNNNNNNNNNNNNNNNNNNNNNNNNNNNNNNNNNNNNNNNNNNNNNNNNNNNNNNNNNNNNNNNNNNNNNNNNNNNGUAUAAUUUUUGAACAAUUUGUAUAAAAUACUUAAAUUAUUAAUUCAAAUAUAACAUUAUAGGCUCAACUUAAAUAUAAAUUUUAUUUAACUUAAACAACCCAAAGAUUAUUUUAUAAAUAAUUAAAAGUGAUAAAUUGUAUUGUCUUUCUAAUAAUGAUUGUAAGUUGGUUAAUAAGGUUAAAUAAAUAUCAAACCUAAAGUGUAAUCAUAAAUAGACUAAAUUUCAAUUUUUAAAUAAUAUAUUUAUUUCUAUUUAUAAAGUUAUGUAUUUAAAUUUUAACACAUUAUACUUAAUUUAUUAGAUUUAAAAUGUUGUUGCAUGUAAACCAUUAUCAGUUUAAAGCUACAAUUUUUGAACAGUUUGGACAAAAUACUUAAAUUGUUAAUUUAAAUAUAACAUUACAGUGUCAACUUAAAUAUAAAUUUCAGUUCCACUAAAAAAACCAAAUAAUAUUUUGUAAAUAGUUAAAAGUGAUAAAUUAUAGUAAUAAAUGCAAAAACUAAAUUGUAAUAUCAGUUUAACUAAAAUAUUUCCUAAAUAUAUUUAUAUAGUCGUUAAAAAAUUUCAAAUACGUAGCUUAAAAUAACUUAUAAUAACAAUAGUUGCAAAUAACUCUAUAUAAAUUAUUAUAUUGUUAACUUUAAAAUCAAAAAAUAAUGUUUGAUGUUUUAAAUAAUUAUAAUGAUAGAAAUUAAAACAUUAAGCAAAUACAUUUUAAAAAAUUAGUUAAAAAUAAUAACUAUAAAUAAUAUUAAACCAUAUAUAAUAUUUAAUUUUAUUGAUGUGUAACUCGCGAGUAGAAGUCAUUAAAACGAUUGAGAUUAUGACGUUAUAAUAGAUUUAUAUAUUAUCAUAUAAUUCAAAAUAGUCAAUAUAUUAUAUCAAACUAAUAUACGAAUUAUUAUAUCAAAUUUAACAACAAUGUUAGUGUUAUAUUUUAAUAUAUAUAUAAAGACUUCAACUAUAUAGGUGUUUCUGCGCAUUACAAUGUCAACUCAAAAAUAUAAAUUUCAUUUCCAUAUUAAAAAACUAAAGAAUAUUUUAUAAAUAGUUAAAAGUAAUAAAUUGUAGUGAUAAAUGCAAAAACUAAAUUGUAAUCUCAAUUUAACUAAAAUAUUUCUUAAAUAUAUUUUUAUAAUCGUUAAUAGUUUCCAAAUAAGUAGCUUAAAAUAAUUUACAAUAACAAUAGUUAAAAACAACUCUAUAUAAAUGAUUAUAUUGUUAGCUUUAAAAUAAAAAAACAAUGUUUGAUGUUUUAAAUAAUUAUAAUGAUAGAAAUUAAAACAUUAAGCAAAUAAAUUUUAAAAAAUUAAUUAAUAAAAUCAAAUCAUAUAUUAUAUUUAAUUUUAUUCAUGUGUAACUCGCGGGUAGAAGUCAUUCAAACGAUUGAGAUUAAGAAGUUAUAAUAAAUGUAUAUAUUAUCAUAUAUACAUUUAUUUUUUCUUAUUAAAACAUUCUACUUUUCCAAAAUACAAUUUCAAUUUUUUGGACUAAAUACAAGAAAUAGUACUGUAUUUCCAAAAUAUAAUGUUGUGAUAAGGAAAAGUGAAGGUUGGAUUCUUCAGUAAUGCGAUCAAUAAAAGUACAUUGCAUUUAAGUUUUGAAUUGUUAUAUAAUAAUCUACUAAAUCUUGACGGAAUUUUCCUUUUUCUUUCAGGUUGUUCAACUUUCAAAUAACCAACGAAUUACUUAUACAAUGUAACUCUUCUUGGAUUCAAAUUUUAUAUCAAAAGUUUUUGCAUCGUUAUGUAUUAUCACCUUACAUUUUGUUGAUGAAUAAAAAUUGAAAGAGACUGUUGCCAAAUAACUUUCUUCUUGAAUUGGGGUUUUAGUUUUUUCUAUUAUUCAAAUGAUUUUACAAAUUUAUUUAUUGGGUUUUGUUAAAAGUUUGAGUGAGAAUCUGGAUUUUUGUAUGACAUAAACUAUUUUGAAGUUUGGAUGAAGUUGUAAAAAAAAAAUGACCCCAUUGCAUAGCAUAAGUUUUUUCUGAGUUUCAAUAAUAUCCCAAUUAACCAGGACCAUUUCAUAUUGAUGGACUUCCGAAAAGUUACCCCUGUAUAUUUGAUGAUGAAAUUUGAGUUGAGAAAAUGAAACUUUAAAAAUUAACUUAUUUUUAAAAAUUAUUUUUUUAGAUAAUAAAAUAACUAAGGCAAUAUAACGGUGAUCAUUUGAUAUGAUAUAUUUUAAACCAAAUUUGAGUUGUAUUCGAAUCGUGUAAACUUUAAAUUUGAGGUAUAUAGGCCUUCAAUAAAAGAAAAUUAAUUAUAUUUUUAAGGUAUAUAGGCCUUCAAUAUUUUUUUUGUCGAGAGUAAGUUAUACAAAAUUUUAAGGUAUAUAGGCUUUAAAAAUUAAUUAAAUUUUAAGGUAUAUAGGCCGUCAUUAUUUUUAAGGUAUAUAGGCCUUCAAUUUUGAAUCAUGUAGGUAUAUAGGGUUUCAAUAUUUUUUUUCAAGAGUAAGUUAUACAAAUUGUCAAUCUGGUUUGUACAAUCUGUAGGUUUUGUCUCUAAGGGGGUGUUUGAGAUUGUGUUUGAAAAGUGCUUAUUUGCUUAUUGGCUUUUUGAAAAGCUAAUAAGUCAAAAAAAGUGUUUGGCAAACUCAAAAGUACUUUUCAAAAUUGUUUUUCCAUAAGCUUCAAUAAGUACUUUUUAAUAAGCAUAUAAAACGUGGCUUUUUGAAACUAUUUAUGGUUUUUCAACCAAAAUAACUUCAAAAAUCACUAAAAGUUUAUCCAAACACUUUUUAAAAAACUCAUUUACCACUAAGCAAAUAAGCACUUUUAUCUAAAAGCAUUUUUCUAGUUCAAAAGCACUUCCAAACACCCCCUAAAUUGUUCUACUUGUCUCAUUUUUAUGGUAAUUAUUAUAUUUUUAAGAUGUAGAAGUCUAAGGCUAUGUUAGUGUUGGCUGAAAAACUAGUUGAUAGUUGUUACAUAAAAAUGUAUUUGAUAAUUGAAAAUUCAGCUGAGAAAAAACAAUGGUUGGGAAAAAUAGUUGAUAAAUUAGUUGAAAUAUAUCAAAUAAUAUAAAAAGUCAUUUAAAAAAUAUUUUAUUUUAUAAUUAAUUAAGGGUAUGUUUAAAAAGAAUUAAAACAAAACUUCUAAAAAACUAGUUUAAAUACAUUUUUAAAAAGGUAGCUUAUAAGCUAUUGUCUUGUGAAACAUUAUAACUAAAAAAUAUCGAAAAAUAAGUUAGCAUGUCAAACACAACCUAAAUAUUAAACAAUUUUAUACAAUUACUAUUUUGACUUUCAAUUAUAUUUAAGCCUCAUAUUCAAAUUUUUAUUCCUUAAUGUUUCAAAUAUCUUAGUAUGGUAUUCAAAUUUUGUCUAGUUGCUAAGAGAGACUAAUGCAUUGUCUUUUGUAAUAUCAUUGCAUUUAGUGGAAUGUAAUAACUCAUAAAUAAACAUUCUAUUUGGCGGGAUAUGAUAUCUUGAAGCUAUAAAUUAAAUUGUAUUAUGAUACGUGAGCAUAUCAACAUGACAAAAUUGUUUCUAGAAUGUUAAUUUUUCUAAUUUUUAAUAUAGUUGGUUUAAAAAGAUAUUGUUCAAUUGAAUGGUUACAAGUUUUUAUUUUAAUAUGUGAUCCACAUCAAUUGAUUGUUGAAUGAUACUAGUUAAAUGCAAUAUUAUUUUUGUAAAGUAAUCACAAAUUUUAUAUUUUUGACCAUUCAUAAUAAUUAUAUGUACUAUUCAUCGUAUUAAUUGUAUAAUAUAAUGAUUUGAUGUUCAGUAAUGGUUUUCUUUUACUAUUACCAUAUAUGUAUAUAGGGGUAUUUUGUCAUUUUUUCGGUUUUUAGUUUAGUUUGUUUGGUUUUAUCCGUGUUUUUAAAUCAUAAAAUUAAUCAUAACCAAAAUAAAAAAGGUCCGAUUUAUUCUGUUCGGUUUACCAGUUGAACCGAAUACAACUCUUCAUGUAAAAAUAAAUAUUAAACUAAAAAAAGAAAUUACUAAACUUUUUACCAAAUGAAAAAAAAAUACACUAAUACAUAACAUAUAUUGUCUUGUCUUAAAUUGUAAAUUCCUUUAAACCAUCAACAAGUGUUGAUUGCAGCAUUUUUUUCUACAAUUGUUGAGCACCCAUGAGAUAUUACCAUUUUAACCUCUUCUAAAUUUCUAACUUCGCUAACAACUAAGAAACAUGGUUAAACAUGUCUCCAUUUCUUCAACUUCAAUGUCACUAGAAGAGCUAAAAUUAUAUAUAUAUAUAUAUAUAUAUAUACACACACACACUAGGUGUGAAACCCAUAUAUUACACGGGUUGAUCAAAAAAGUUAAAUAUAAGGUGUAGACAUUAAAUAUUUUCUAAAGUAAAAUUUUGAAAUAAAUAUAAAUAAAAUGAUGAAUAAAUAAUUCAAUCUAUACUAAUAAAAAAUACUUUCAUGUUUAAAAAAUCAUGCUGAAUAUGAAUGUGUAAAAAUUAAGUAUUUUUUAAAGUAAACUUUUGAAAUAAAUACAAUAAAUAGAAUAAACCACAAGGAUCAUUUAUGUAAUUUGUCUUAAUUAAUCUAUACUGAUAACACUAAUUAAUAUAAAUUCACAAAUGGAAUUCAUUAAAUAGAAAUAAGAACUCAUAAAUGGAAGGUUUACUAUAUACAUUAAUUCACAUUAAUUAGUAUGAGUUGACAUUUAAUAGGUGGGAGUUCAAUAAAAAUGAAAAAAAAUACAAAAAUGACAAGUGGAAAAAAAAAUAAUUUAAAAUUCUAAGAAAAUGACAUGUGACAAAUUCAAUAAGAAGUUGACAUUUAACAAAAUGAUUUUUAUUUAUUAGGGUACUAGGUGUGAGACCCAUGUAUUACAUGAGUUUAUUUAAAAAAAUUAAAUAUGAAAUUUUAACAAUUUGAAAAGUUCGAAUUUAUAAGAAGAAUGAGAAAAAUUUUAAAUUAUUAAAGUUAAGGAAGCUUUAGUGUAUUGAAUACAUUACAUAUAUAAACUCUUUCUAAUGAAUACCUUACAUAUAUAUUAUCUUACAUAUUAAAUGUGAAAUUUUAAUUUAUAAAUGAAAAAUACAAUAAAAUGACAAGUGGAAAAUAGAAAAUUUAAAAAAUCUAGAAAAUGUCAUGUGUCCAAAUAAAUGAGAAGAUGACAUGUGGCAAAAAAAACCUUUAUUUAUUAUAGUAUAUAUAUUUUUUAGUUUUUGUUCCUUCUAAUAUGAUUACAUAUNGUUUAUACACACACACACACACACACACACACACACAUAUAUAUAUAUAUAUAUAUAUAUAUAUAUAUAUAUAUAUAUAUAUACUAUCUUAUAAAGGAAAUCUAACUAUUUCUAAAAAUAGAUUGAUUAUAAUAUUAAUAUUUUUUUAAGACGUUCUAAUUAUUAAGCUAAUAGUAUAACUAGGCUUCAAUAAAAUAAUAUUAAAAUUUUGAAAUCGGCCCUUUCAUAUAAAGUCAAUGUUUGAAUACUAAAAUGUAGGGAAAUUUGCCUCCCUUAUCUCAGAUUUUGACCCAUUCUUCAAAAAUUUGCAUUGGCCUUCCCUCAUAUCUCGGCUAUAACAUUGAUGAUCAACUUUGUCCUGCACUACAAAUACUCUUUAGAAACCCUAGAAGCAUAAGCACUAGACGGUGCUACUUCCAUCAACACCCAAGGACAGAAGACUUCCAUCAACACCCAAGGACAGAAGAUGUAAACGACGACCACCACGCUUAACCACCAAUGCCUCUCUCUCUCUCUCUCUCUCUCUCUACGUACAUAUAUCGCCCACCAUCAUUCAUUCUUAGUCUUUUAUUUUGAUCGAUGCCAGGUUAGAUUUUUCUCAUGCUUCUGGAACUAAUCAGAUAUUUUGCAAGAUUUGAAGACUGAGGCGAUGAAGUACAUGAAUCUCGAUGCCUUUAACAAUUGUAUACGAAUUAUUUCUUGAAGAUCGAUGAUUGAAGCAUUUCCUAAAAAGUAUUGGUGACCUCCUUUCGCCUAUGUCUCAGCAUCGAGUAUUCAAGUUGAAAUUUUCAAGAUUCAAGGCUCAAAUUUCACAUGGCAUAUCAAAGGGGCCCAAAUUUGCUUAUGGUUUAUGUAUGAUAGUGCAACUACCAAGAACAUGCCCAUCUCCAGCUAGGAAGGUAACCUUCUAACAUGUGUUAGCUUGGGGUUUUGAUUAAAUUAAUUUUUGUUUGUGGAUUGAUUGUUAGUUUCAAAUUUAGUGACUUUAUUUGGUAUAAAACUUCCAUAAUAAUAAGGCCUUAAAGGUAGGGAUAAAUGCAAGAACUAACAAUAUAUUCAUUUUUUUCUCUCUUCAGUAGUUCAAAUUUUUCAUGACUAUGAAAAGGAACAUGAUAGUCAUCUGGUGAAUAUGACAUUUAUAGGCCAAUUUUGGAUAGGUUAUAGGUUUCAUAAAGAAUGAAAGUGAUCAGAAACAUACCAUAUGCAGCAGAAGACAUACACUAAGGAGAAGAAUAUUAACAUUGCUAUGGGUGUUUGAAUCAAUACCGGAAUGAAAAGGAUUAACAAUAGGUUUCAGAAUGUGCCCUUUGGUAGAUGCAAGGUGAAAAGGUUAUAUUUGGGGGUAAUACAAUCAUUUUACAUGCAUUUAAAGUUAUUUUAAUGAUGUUUCUGAGAAAAGCCAAAAAUGUCCGAGAAUGUUGAAAUCGGGACCACAUUUGUAAAAAGAUUUUCAUGGACUUGAUCAAAAAAAUACACUUAAACAAAGGGACCAAAACUGUAAUUUCAUCUUUUAUUUAUUUUUAUUAUAUUAUUUUAUUUCUUAUUAAAUUUUCACUUCCAGCAUGACUACAAUUUGCUAAUCCUAAUGACAAGCAACACAGGUGCUCAUGGAUGAAAUGGUAGGAAUACUGAAUACAUGAUCCUUUUUGAUUAGUUAGAGUGAACUUAUUUUGUUUGUUCAAUCAUGAUCCACCAUUGUUAACAUAAAAUAUUUAAAAUUCAUUUUUUUCUUCUAAUUAUUUAAACAUAUUAAUGAGUAUGUAUGUUUUUAUAAAAGACAAGUUACAAGGUUAGGCAUGUAAAAGUUGUUUUUUUUUUUUUUUUUUGUAGAAUUUGUACAAAAUAUCAAUAUUUUUUUGUAAAUCGUGAGACUAUCCAAGACAACGUUUAUGUUGAUAGUUUAGCAAUAAACAUAGUUGUAAAUAUAUUUUUUCUAAUUGAUUGUUUUUGCAUCAAUUUUGUUUUCUGCUACACAUUCUUUGAAAUAUGAUAUCUCCUCAAAAAGAAAAUAAAUGUCGAAAGGAAACUAUUUGCUAAGUUUUAAAGAUUUAUUUUCAUAUAGAAAUGAUAUGAUAUUAUUGUGUGUUUGUGGGUUUUUUAAUGUAUUUGUUUUUGAUGAAUGUGUUGUGUGUCAGUUUGCUCCUAUUUCCAAUUUGUAAAUGUCGAAAGGAAACCCUUUGUUUGUUUGUUUGUUUUUGUUUAAUUAUUUAUUAUUAUUAUAGCAUCGAAAUUUUUUGUUUCGUUUUGUUAUUUGAGUAUCCUUAGGAAAUGUACAACGACUUCACCCAUACCAAGUCAAUUUGCUUGGAAUUGUAACCAGUUAUAUCAGAUUCGAAUAUUUUAGAAUCCGUUCUAGGUACCUCUUUAAACACGUGAUAGAAUUUCGUAAAAGGUAGUUGUUUGUUUACUUUUGUUGUAUCAUUAAUGUUAGAAUUUAUCCACCAUAAUAUUUGGUUAUACAUUGGAGCUCUAUGUUAUUUGAUUAUUUAUAAAUGUUAGGUGCUUUUUUAUUGAUAAGAUAAGGGGAAAGGUUGAUCCAUCCUAUGAUUAUCACAUUUGGAUAUAUAAAUUAACUAGGUUAAAACCCGUGGAACCCACGGGUGCUGUUUUUGAAUUGAAUUUAAAAAUUAAUUAUUUAAUAAAAUAUUAUAUCAAUGAUUCUGAUAACUUAUAAAUUGUAAUAUUGAAUAUUUAAAUAAUUUUUUUUUAUUGGUAAUUAUUUAAUUACUAACUAAAUGGGAAGUAUUUAAUUAGGAAUGAAGAUUUUUGAAAACUAUUUUUUUUUAUUCAUCAUUCUAAUUGGACAUAUGCAGAUGAUACAAUACCAAUGCGUGUAAUGAAAUUAACAUAAAAUACAACAAUACGUAAUUAUAAAAAAAUACAGUAAUAUGAUGGAUUAAGUGUGAUUUCCUAAAAUUGAAUAAAACGACGUUACAAAAAAGUUGGCUACAAAUUUCGAAAAACUUCCUUAUAAACAACAUUGGAAGUUUUAUUUCUGAGUUUGCCAUCUUUAUCUAAAAUUAAUAAUUUUAAUCCCUCUCUACUCUGAACUCUAGAUAAGGCAACAUACAAUUGUCCAUGUGAAAAAACUGGAUCUUUCAGAAACAGACCAACCUUUGACAACGAUUGUCCUUGACUUUUGUUAAUAGUCAUUGCAAAACAUACAGCCAAAGGAAACUGUCUUCUUGUGAAUUUGAAGGGAAUCUUUUUUUCUGAUGGAGUUAAAGACAUUCUUGGAAUAAAAGUCCGAUUUCCAAUAUUAGUUCCAGUUAUUAUACGUGCCUCAAUAACACGUUUGCCCAAUGAUAACACCUGUAGUCUUGUGCCAUUACAUAAGCCGUUUUUCUGAUCAAUAUUUCUCAGUAACAUUACUGGAACACCAAUUUUUAAAACUAAUUUAUGAUUUGGUAAACCGGAUACUUUGAGUCCAUUUAAUACAUCAGGAGAGUAUAGAUUUGCAUCAAAUUGAUCAUGGAGAAAUUCGGAUUCACAUAUGCAGUCUGAACUUAAAUAUUCAACUUGAUCUCCUGGAAACUUCUUAAGUAAACGGUCGUUUAUUUCCUGGACAACUUCAUUUUUUGGAGCAAGUAUCGCUCUUUCUUGGAAAUAAUUUAUAUCGCUAUAGUACUCUAAAAUUGUUAUUGGGUGUAAUGAUUAUUGUUUUCGAAUGGUAUGUGUUCGAUUGGUUAUUGGGUUUGUAUACAGGGAUCGAUUUUAAACGGAGGUUAAAGAUUGUGGGAACGAAUAACUGUUAAAUUCGAUGUUUUCUGGAACGAAGCCUUGGUUAUUAAAUGAAUCAUACGAAGGAUCUGUUAUUUGAUUUUGGAAUUGGGGCGAAUAAUCGAACGAUUUGGAGUUGCGAAUUUGAUUUUGAAAAGCCAAUCAGUUGGGUUCGCAUAUGAAAACAGAUAAGUUUUGAUUUUGGAUUCGCAAUUGGGUUAAUUGGGUUAUUGAUUGAGGGACGAUUCGUGAAGAAAAAUGCGAAGUCAAGAAGGACUGUGAAAUGUGAUUUGUUCAAUAUUGGAGUCAAAUGCAGUUCACGUGUAAAAGCAAAAAUGUUCGCAUUUGGUAAUACAAAUCAAAAUUGGGUUUCGCAUAUGAGGUUGUAUGGAUUGGGGUUAAAGAUGCGAAGGUGAUUAUGGUUAAUAUUAAUUUCGCAUUUGGUGAGACAAACAACUCAAAUGCGAAUGAACUAAAAAAAAAANUUAUACUAAUUAACAACCUGGAUGAGCUGUAACAUUUGAACAAUAAUAACCCCAUAGGCAAUAUCGGCAAAAAAUUUAAAAUAUUAAGAAAAAAUUCAAAAAAAUAUUUACAAGCAAAUAAACUUCAAAAUAUAUUUUAUUUGAGUUAUAACCAAAAUCAACUAACUUGUCCACUUUAAAACAAUAAAAGUAUCCAAAAAUAUUCAAAACCAAUAAUAUUUGACAUCCUAAAUACCCCAAAAUAAAAAUCAUACCAAGCAAUUAAAAUAUCUUUAUAACCAAAACAAAUGAUCAAAAUAUAUUAAAUGUGUCUUAUAACCGAUAGAAACUCACUUUUCAAUUUUUGGAAUCAAGAGUGGAGUUUCCUCUGCGGUUGACUUUCUUUUAGCCUUAGUUGAACUUAAAUCAUAUCCAGAAUCAACAUCAUAAAUUUCUUGGAGGUUGCGCUUCAAAUCACCUGAUAUUUUGCUUGGACUUGUUGCGGUUGACUUAUCAACUGUUGAGGGUGUAAAACUUUCGUCUGUUUGUGAGAUCACAUCCUAAUUUAAAAAAAAAAUGUUUGAUUCCUAAAAAAAAUAACUAAUAUAAUUAAAAGUUUAUAAAAUAAAAUGAAAAACCUUUUGAAUAGGAUGUACAACAUCAUCGGAUUCCAAAGCAACUUGAUUUAAGGAGACAGAUUGAAUACUCUAAAAAAUAAAAUGGAAAUAUGUUAAUCGUUAUGUACUUUAACAUUAAAGAAUUGUAAAUUUUCAACAAUAAAAAAUUACAUACCAUAAGUUCUAUUUUACUUUCCAAUUCACAAACAAUGGACAUAUCUUCUGUAACUCUGAGAACUGUGUAGAUGUUAUUAUAGUUGUUGACAUUGUAUUCUGUAAUAUCUACAACAAAACCAAACUUGCGGUUUUUCAACACGUUAAGUUGCAUUGGAAAUAGGGCAUCACUGUCUCCGGCCUGUAAGAUAUAUUUUAAUAAAUUAAUAAAAUAAAGUAAAUGUUUUCUGAUUUUAAAGGUAUGAAUAAUAUACCGCAUCAUGUAUCUUUUUCAACUCGUAGGCACUUAUAUUUAACAACCUCCUUGCUUCCCUAUCAAAAAGAGUCAAUCCAAUGGUUCCAGUACAAUCUUGUACGUUGAUUGGAAUUAUAUACCUAAAACAAAAAAAAAUUAUGUCAUUGUUAGUGUUGUUUUAAGAUUGACAAAAUUAAUAGAAAUAAAUAUGUGUAUACUUUAUAACUGACUGAAAUUCAGAUUUUUUGCAUUGUGCAUUUGUACACUCGACAACCAUAGUUUCUGAAAUUCCCUCAGGGUUGGUAUACGAAUGAUUGGUUUUGGGAACAGGGAUUAUUUUUUUUCCACAUUUUUUGCAUGCUUCAUAAUACCAUGGUAGAUUCUGCCUUAUAUUAACAAUGGAAGCAACUAAUAAAAACUUCAUUUCCUGUAUCAUAUCAAAUGUAAAAAUUAUUAAAAUAAAUUAUGCAAAAAUAAAAUGUAAAACAUAUAAAAUAAUGCAAUAUACCUUAAUUGGUUCGGUGAUCUCACAGAUUGUUUUUAAUGGAAAAUUGCCCUUAAAGUCAUCUGUAUAUGAAGAAGAGUAGCUUUGAAGUGUAGUUAUGCUUUUUUCAGUUAUACCGAAAUUGUCAUGACAUUUCAACCUGUGAUGUUUAAUUUAGAUUCAUGAAUAUUAGGUUUUGUGUUUUUUUAAGUUAAAAUACAUUAUAAAAAAAUAAAAAACAAUUGGAAACUAACUUAUAAUAAGAUGGAACACAAAUAUAUAAUAAACAUGAAAACGACAAUUAUACCGAAAAUGCCCCUGCAACAUACUAACACUAACAGAUAACAUAACAAUGAGUAAAACAGAAAAAUUAAAAAUCAACACAUGACAAUAACAACUGACUUAAUGUACUCAUAAAUUUUAAAAUUCUAAAUUUUUUUGAGAUUGUAUUUAGAUAAAAACAAACAAAUUUUAAAAUUUCAUACCAUAAAAAAAAGUUACUGUGCACAUCUGAAAAAGACUAUUUUUAAUUUUUUUUAAAGAAAAUGAACUUGUAAUGUUCAUUAGUUUUUCGUCUUUUAAACUGAAAAGGUAGAAGAAGUAGACGAUUAAGAAGAAUUACAAAAAAGAAGAAGAAGAAUAGAAAUCAUACAAUGAGAACGUGAUAGAUACAGAUAAAUUAAGAACAUGGAGGAAAUAGAAAUAUUGGUAAUUCUGAUUUUGAAUACACUAACCUGAUAUUUAAUUCUUGAAGCGUUGCAGAAUAACAAAGAAUGAAGAAGAAUACGUUUGCUGUGGUUUCUAUGGAGCAAAAUUGUUAUGGAGCAGAAUGGUAAAAACAAAAUAACCGUAUAAAUGAUAUCUACGUUUGCUGAAAAAUACUGCAGAUUUUUAGGGAUUUAAUGAUUGCAAUAUAUUGAAUUUGCAAUCAAAAUAAACAAACUUUCAAAUUUAAUCGUGAUUUUCGAAUCUGAUUAUUCAUUAACAUAUUUUUUCAAAUUAUUUCCAUAAUCUUUAUUCAUUUAAAAUUAAUGCAUGAAUAUUUUGAAUGCAGUUGACAGCUAAAAUUUCCUGAUAUAUUGCAUCAAUUUGAACUUUUAUUCAAUUUUCGGAUUCAAUGGCAUUUACGUAAAUAUAGAAGAAAAAAUGAGCGGGAAAACUCUAUUUUGGGGGGCUGGGAGAAUGCCACGUGGCCGAGUUCUACUUAUUUAUUAGAAUUAGGAUUGAUCAUCGUGUAUUUUAUUGAGAUUUCUCAAAAGUAUUAGAUAAUUCAUGAUCUAACCAAAAUAUAUUACUUUUUAAAAUUGAAUUUAAAUAUCAAGUAGCAUUGGCAUUGUAAUUGUUAACGAUUCUAUAAAGCUAAAAAUUAGAACGGUCCCAAUCGUUUCCAAACUUUAGGUACCGGAACAGUAACCAAAGUUAUCGGUUUUAGUGUCGGAACUGGGUUACAGAGUUGUUCUGGUUCAUCCCUAAACAUACUUAUAUUUUGAAACCAAAAAUAUUUUUGUCUAAACAAGAAACAACAUAUGUAUUGCGAUGGUUACAACUAUUCGUUGUUACAAAACCCACCGAUAACAAUAUAAAUGUUUCCGAAUGACAAACACAUAAUGUUGAUGUUGGACAAUUUACAUAUUUGCCCCUGGUGUACCUGCAUAGUAACUGGUUGAUGAGUUUUAACUGUGGCCUGGUGUUAGAAAUAAAAGUGGCGGCUUGUUGGUUAGGUCUUGUGCAUUGGUGCUUUGCUGCAUUGUGAAAGUUGAUUUAUUCACCAUUAUGCCCUUGGUCUAUUUCUUUUUUUCAAAUAGAAGAUGGUGUAAUUCCCCUGAAUGAAUGGUGGUUUUAACCUGACUUUUAAAACAAAUCAAAUCCAAGUUGUUAUUUUUAGUGAUAUUUUGAGAAUGCAUUGUUAUAAGCUGGUGGUUGUAGAUUUCACGUCUGCUGCAUAUAUGCUGUCACAUGGUGGAUUCCUUUUCUUUUUUUCUUCUUUUCAAGUGUUUUUUGUUAUAGGAUCUGUUGUGAUUUUCUAAUUUAUUUAUCUCUUUGUAAUUUUGUCUAGCUUCUUCUACAAAUGCCUCAUGAAGACAAAUUUUGGAGGUCAAUAGUUUUACUAGCGUAUAUAGACAAUAGUUUAACUAAAAAGAAUAGAGCAAUUAGCAUGGUGAGUCGCUUAUAAUUAGUUUUGGAGUUUUGAUUUUUGAUCUAAUAUCAAAACUAUUACAUUCUUUUUGGUCCAAUCAACACGAUUCGUGUUUUUUUAUUUGCCUUCACAUCAAGUUCUACUUUCACAUGUUCUAUAUAUAACAAAUUCACACACUUACAAAUUUUAAUAACUUGCAUAUGUUUCUAUCUGCAACUUAAAAUUUGUUCAUUUUCAUAUUAUUAAAGGUUUUUAUUUACAGUUUUAUAUGUCUUCUACCCUUAGUCAAUUGCAGAAGAAUCAAGAGUACUUGUCCUGUACAUUUAUGAAAGUUGUAUCAUUACUUGACUAAAUUAACAAUUAUUUUAGGCAUUUAUAUAGAAAAAAUGAAGUUACGUACGUGAAAUGUAUAUGUUAAGUUAGUAAAAAUGAUUGCAGAUUAAUGAAAACAACAAUCUUAAUUUAAUAUAAGCCAAAAUAAAAACAUAUUAAAAUUCCAUAAAUUCAACACCAUAAAACAUCAAACUUAUUUGAAACAAUCCAAGAAAAGACAAAACCAUAAAAAUUCCAGCAUUAUAAAACAAAUCUACUAAAAUAACUUAGGUGUUAACAACCGGAUCUUCAUCACCCUGAGAUGGUUGGUUUUCAGAUGCAACAGUAUGCAAACCAAGCCUGAAAAAAAUAAAAUUGAAGGCAUUAAUAAGUUUAAAUCAAACAAUUAAAUAACUACACAUACAGUGAGAAACAGAAAAAAAAAAAAAAAAAAAAAAAAAAAAAAAAAAAAAACAGUGUUUUUUGGUCCUUUGUAAAACAAAGGACAAAUGAUCUUACCCGACAUCAACAUGAAAUUCAUCAUCUUCUUCAUCACGGAGCCUAUAACAUCUGUUUGGGCUUUGAACUUUGACACGGGGUCUCUUCGGUGGUGGUGACAAUGUUUUUGGUUUUGUUGAAUCUGAUGUGUCAAAAAUUUUCACAGCUUCAUCAUCCAACUUUUCAUCUUCAGAACUUAGGAUAUCAACAACCUCAUCCCAAUUCCAGUUUAGCAGUGCCCAUUCUCUUUUCUAAUCUUUUUCCUGCUUCUCAUGCAUACAAAGUUGAAGCUUGGUUUGAUCACAUUCCUGCUUAUUGUUACUCAAGUUCGACAUGUUGGCUGUUUUUCUAUGUCAAAAUUAGUAUUAGUUGCAACAAAACAAAUAAAUCAGUGUUAGUGGUUUACCUCCGCAUUACCUUCUAUUAAAAGUUGGAUGCCCGAUAAUACUGUUACGGAAUAUUGACCCAACAAAUGGGUUGUGUAAUGGCACCCGAUUGAUAUGCAGAAGCUUUCAGCAAAAUGUUAUUGAUGUAGAAAUAGUUGUUGGUCAACAUGCUGGAAAAAUGAUAUUUUUGCCUAAGAUUCCUUUAUGUCCAUCUGAUGAUGACAUGUUCCCAUUCAAGCUAAAGAGGAAAUAGUUUCCUAUUCGAUUGUGGUUUGCAAUGACAAUCAAUAAAGCUCAGGGACAAACAAUUCCAAAUGCAGGUAUUUAUCUUCCAGACCCGGUAUUCUCGCAUGGACAACUUUAUGUUGCAUUGUCCAGAGGGGUUUCACGUUGCAAUACAAAAGUAUUAAUGAAGCCUAACGAAAUUUCAAAAGGUGAUGGGGUUUAUACAGCAAAUGUGGUGUACAAAGAAGUAUUGCACGAUUAAUAUUUUGUGCUAUUUUGACUGGUUUCUUUUUAUUGGUUAUUUGAUGUAUCAUGUAACAAAUAACACCAUAGUUUGAUUAUAUUGUCUUCAACAUGUAAUUUCUUUUGGAACAUAAUAUUUUUGUAAAGGAAACAUAUCACCGAAAGAACCUACGUGCCCCGCUGCUUUGCGCGGGUACACUACUAGUGUGUGUGUGUGUGUGUAUAUAUAUAUAUAUAUAUAUCCAUGUUUAAUAAAAACCUCUCUUAUGUGCCACUUUUCAUUUUUUUAGACUUCAUUUUGCCACGUGUCAUUACCCAAAAUUUGUUUUACCGCUCAUCUUCCUUCCUUUGUUAGCGGAUGUUAUCCCAAAAAAUUAGGGAUCUUAAUUUAAAACUUAGUUGUUAUCCCAAUAAAUCACGAAUCCUAAUUCCUCUCUUAAUUUUUAUAUUUGUAUUAUGCAUUCCACUAAUGCAUCUCACCGUUUGCUAUUCCCUAUGUGAUGCGUCGAUUAAGCUCUGGAAUACACAGCUCUCUCCUACAUCCUUCUCUCUCGCCAACAGUCAGUUCUAGAAGAAAGCAAUUAUACUUCCGCCUCCGCCAUGUAUUCUCCCUGCAACAACUGCAACAACAGAUAUACCACUUUUCCAUCGUCGGUGAUUAGGUUGUUCCUCCGGUAACCGGCCUUCCCACCAAGAAAACGCACGAGCCAAGAUUCGUCGUUUUGGGUUCCGGUUGCACUUACCUGCAUACUUGGACAUCCGAGGCAAGAUUCCCAAAGUCAAGCCUUAUGCUUUCACGAAACUGCCAAGAAUCAUGCUUAUAUGCGCUCCGACUGUGAACCCUAAUCCCCUCCGGUAAGCAUCGGGUUUGAAUUUUUCAAAAUUUUACUUAGUUACACAACAUCGAUGAGGGGAAAAUGCUUAUGCCAUACAUGUUUUGUGGAUAUGUUGUUUGUUUUUUAAUGAAUGGGUUUCAAUUUCACUUUGUGUUUUGAUUUCAAUUUUUUUUUUUUUUGCUUCUAUUAAUGGUGAGCUUUAUAAUUUCCAGUUACUAUUCAGGUUCAGCAAUCUUGAGCAUGAUUUUUUUUUUGCUAAUGUGAUUUCUUAUAAGUAAUGUAACAUGCAGAUACUUCCAAAGUUGGUAUGCAUAAUGAUAUGUUAUACAUGAGCUUUGUUUUUUAUUCAAAUUACUUUUUUGAUUAAUUAACAAAGAUUUUGUGUUAAUUGGACAGGUGGUUUUAAUUGGUUUGGUGAAAAGCUUUUUUUUUCUUCUAAAAGUGAAGAAAUCAAACCUUUUUUACUGUUGUAUAUAAACAAACUUCAUUUUUUUACAUCCCAUGGUUUUACCUCCACGGUUUCCUCUUUUCAAUCUUAAAAUCAAAAUAAUAUUGCCCAAAGGUUGAUAAUCAUCAUUUUAUUCAACAUGCUCUGGUCAGAUGGGAUUUUUUUUUUCUACUAAAUUUUUUGGCAUCCAAGUUUCAUCUUCUGUUUUGUUAUUAUCAUUUGAGAUAAAUGGAUAAAGUUGGUUUUGUUUAAAGGCGCGAUGGAGUGUACCAUUAAGAAAGUAAGAGAAAGCAACAUAAACUAGACGACUUGAAAACAGGGUGGAGCUGCAAAAGGAGCUUUUUUUCAUCUUAUCUAAGGAAUUACAGGUACUAGGCUUGUAUUUUUAGUCUUUAGUUACGGUUGAACCGUGUAUUUGUCCUAAAAAUUGGUUAAACCUUUUGGACAUGGUAAAUCUUCUUUUAUGAUAGCAAUUGGGAUACUAACACAAACAGGAGACAGAAGACAGGAAAUGGAACUAUCCUUACGGUCAUUUUCUAAAUCAUUGAUUAAUCACUCUUUUAGACACAUUUUUGGUUGAGAGUUUGGUAAUGGGGUAAUUAGUUAUUCCUAAAUAGUUACUAAAGUGAAAAUAAGUUUUUCUUUUUUACUUAAUCUUUUUUUCAUAUUUAUACUGGAUAUGUCUGUUUGUUUGGUUUCUAUUAUUCAAAAAUGGAAUUUAAAUUUAUUUUUCUAAAAUUGUGCUUGAUUUGUACAAUAUAACAUCCUACUAUCACCUCUUUUGCCACGUGUCAUGUUGAGAAAGCAUCCUGGGUUGUUUUUUCCCCAGUAAAAUGCAUAAACUAGCAAUGUAUCUUCUAUUGUCCUCUUAUUAUGGCAAUGUACUUUCAUUUCCUUAUUACAACAAUAUACUUUGAAGAUUAUUUGGUUAGAGCUUAGUACUUUAUCACAUAUUGCUUUAUUUAAUGGUAUUAAGACCUACCAUAGUAUUGUGUGUGGAUUGGAAUACAAAAAGACUUGAAAAUUUAUGUGUUCUCUUUUAAUGUUAUCUGUCUUGCACUUUUUACUACAUAAAGUUCUAAAUUUCCCAUUCAUGAAACUAAUUUUUCAAAAACUCAAAGGUAGAUGCUAUAUUAGAAACAAAAGUAAAUAUUUAGAAAAUAGUAAAUUUCAAAACUUGAUAUAAUCUUAACUCCAUCAAAAGUUAAUUUUAACAAAAUAGCAAUGUACUUUUAUUUUUAUGUCAAAUAUUGAAUCAUUCUUUGAUUUUUUUUUGUCUCUUUAAACAUUACUUUUUUACAGGGAUCAUUUAAGACCUCUGUUUGAUUAAUUAUUUUCCUACAAGGAUCGUUUAAUUUAUGUACACUGCUAUUUAGUUAAAUAUUAUUUUUUAUGCAUCUCUCUUACAAAAUUUUAAGUUCUAUCCCAUAUUAAUUAAGCCUUUAUUUGUUUCUUUUUCAUAUAUUAUUUUAAUGUCUAAUAAUGAUUUUAGAGACUUAAAAUUUAACUAUAAAAUUUUAACACGACCAUAUAAGUGGUAUUUGUGAAUACCUAUUAUAUAAACCUCUUAUAUGUUAAUAUUGUGGAGGCCAAGCUUCAAAAUUAUAAAUAAAAAUCUUGUGAAUGAAAAAGCACAUGCAUAAUGUCCCAUGUAUCUUAAAACAAUUUCUUAUUUAUUAACAUAGUAAUAAUUAUGUUUUUCAAGUACCAAAGUUAAUUUAAUUUUUGAACCGUGGAUCCACGGGUUAUAUAUAGAUAUAUAUAUCCCGUGAGAUUGAAGGAAAAGUAAACUUCUAAGUUUCUGACUUUGGCCACAAACUUUUAUAAUAUUUAUAUUUUUGCCUAAGAUGUUAUUAGUUUUUGGGUUUUGCCACAUUUUUAUAGCUUUUUCCAAAACUGCCCCUUUUGUUUUUUUCUUUUAUACUUGGCCACCAAUUUUCCAACUCCGUUAACUUUGGUCACAUUUCUUUGUGUUUUAUCCAUUUUGCCAAUUCAAAACUCAAUUAAAGUCAAAACCUUAUUCACCUAUGCGGAGCAUGGGCUUCUCCUAGUUAAUAUAAAGAUUAUUAGGCUUAAUGACUUGUACCUUGAGCAUGAAUUUUUUUUUUUUAACUAAAUUAGCCACCCCAUCCCCUGAAUGGCUGAAUCAACUAGCUUCCCAUCUUCUUCACCCACAAUGCUUUUGGUCGACUUUUUUUUUUCUUUUUUUGGCUAGCACCUUUUUUCGGCAGCAAGAUCUUCUGAUGCACUUGAUUUCGGAUUAGAAACUAUCCAUGACUUCAUCUACAUUGUUUUCUAGCCCAAUUUCUCUAUUUCUUUCCUUUUAUUCUUGAAUUCCGUUGCAGGUUUAUAUCUCUAGUCGGUUACAUUUGAAUGAAAACAAAGAAUUAUCUUCAAAAGGUCGGUCAUCCUUCCAAGUGUUCGAUGAAAUAUCUGAAAGAAAUGAACAUUGAUUCAAGAAUUUGAUUGCUGAGAAUAAAUAUUGUUAUAUGGUUCAUGUGUUUGAUCUUAAUUUCUAAUUCUUCAUUUUUCUUCUGACCUCACUGUUUCAUUUUUCUUAUUGUUUAUCGAAAUUGAUUCAAGAUCAUUUGUUUUAAUUCUGCCCAACUACACUGGAAAAUGUAAACUUUUCAUGAUUCAAGAUCAUUUGUUUUAAUUCUGCCCAACUACAUAUCAGUCUUCUGUUGUGCUCCCAUUUUUCUUAAAUAUAAAUAGAAAAUAUAAACUUUUCAUGAUGCCUUAUUUCACACAACACUGGAAAAUGGCCACCCGUGGUGUUGGUGAUAAUUUAUUGAUAACUGGGACUUAAAAACCCAUGCCAAAUACAAAAAUGAAACAUGGUUUUACAUGACUAUCUAUGUUCGUCUUUUUUGUAAAUUAGCAAUGAACACCACAACCUUCACAUAAACCCAAUCUUUGAAGCUAUCAAGAAACAUAAAAAAAAGCAUAUCUUCCACGACGGUUGAGAAGCAAAGCACCACAUGCUAUCCAAAAUCCAACAAUGAAACCAAUUGCCCCACCAAUAUAGAACCAUACAUCAAGUUCGUCUACACCUUCACCAUCACCCUCACUUUCACCAUUGAUGAGUUGUAUUCCUGAUUCUUCAUUUCCAUGACAUUGUUCGGUAAGGGAAGGUCCACAAAGCCCUAAGUUUCCUUCAUAUCUUGAAGGGCCAAAGGUCUGAAGUUGUGUGCUGGAUGGGAUUCUCCCUGACAAGUUAUUACAUGACACGUCUAGGUAACUCAAUAAGGUCAUUUGAGACAUGCUUGAUGGUAUUUCCCCUGAAAACUUGUUUCUAGAUAAAUCCAAAAUUAAAAGGUUUUUCAUCUGACCCAUUUUCCAUGGAAUCUUUCCAAGUAGAGCGUUCUUUGAUAAGUUGAGUGCAAUAAGUUCAUCAAGAUUGGUAAUCUGAUACGGGAUUUCCCCUGUUAAGUUGUUGCUUGAGAGGUCGAUGCUCCUCAACAACUUCAUAUUACUUCUGAUGAAUUCACGUUCAGUUCCUUGCCACUGGAUCAUCACAUGGUCAACAUUAUAAGAAUAUCUUAUUAAUAUAUCGUCAGGAUCUAAAUUCUGUAGUUGAGAGAAUCCUUGUUGCACCAUGAUCGUAAGAUUACUCAAACAUGAGGGGAUUCUUCCAUGGAAAUGGUUCACCGACAAGUCUAGAAUUUGAAGACUUGCUAAUUGACAUAAUUGUAAAGGGAUGCUUCCAGAGAAGUUGUUUGAUCUUAACAUAAGAACAUACAACCCAGAUAAGCUUUCCCCGAUCCAAACAGGCAAAUUACCAGAAAACUUGUUGGCCCCCAAAUUCAAUGACUUUAAGCUCGUGCAAUUCUUAACAGACAAAGGAAAUUCUUCGGAGAAAUCAUUCUUGUAUAAAUCCAAUGCCUCUAGCUUAAUCAUAGAUCCAAGAGAGGCAGGAAGCCUUCCAGAAAGAUUAUUGUGUUCUAAAUUAAGAACUUGUAGUUCUUUGAAAUGCCACAAACAAUCUGGAAGUUGUCCGCUUAGAAAGUUAUGAGAGAGGUCAAGAAUAACUAAAAAGCCAUGGAAAACUUUGCAUAAGAAGGAGAUUCCUCCAGAGAAUUUGUUUCUGGAAAGAUUUAGUAAUGCCACAGUGGAUGAGACAUUAGUUAUUGGACCAUCAAAGCGGUUGGAGCUUAAAUCUAUCACUGACUUGUUGUCAAAAUUUGAUGACAGAUCUGGUACUUUCCCACUUAUUUUGUUGAAAGAAAGGUUCAAGAAUGUUAACUGGGAAGGCCAUGUGUCCCAAAACUCGAGAGGAAUUGUAUCUGAAAUGCUAGAAUUUGCAAUAUCAAUACUGGUAAGAUUUUUCAAAUUUUGAAUCCAUUUGGGGAAGAGAGGCCCUAGUUUGCAAGAGCUUAGUCGAAUAGAUUCUAUAUGAGAACGGUUUGACAUGUAAUCUGAGGAAGGAAAUCCAUGGAGUGAGUUUUCGGAAAGAUCAAGAUAUUUAAGGUUGGGCAGUUCCCACAGUUUCUUACUUAUAGUUCCUUUUAACUGAUUCUCAGAGAGGGACAGAUGUGUUAGGGAUGUGAACUUUUGGAUGUCAUCAGGCAAUGACCCUGUAAAUUGGCUUCCUGAAGCAGACAACCGUUGUAAUGAAAGUGAUGUGCAUCCAGACAAGUUGUUGAGAAAAUCAGGAAAUUUGACAGCGGCAGAGGUGUUAAAGAAGUACAAAUAUUUCAAACUACAGAGGUUACCAAGAUAUUUGGGUAUCCCAUCUAACAUGUUGCCAGAGAGAUCAAGACGACAAAGCUUAUUGCUGGUCAAUGGGAACAACCAACGAUACAUGGAUGAGGUGAGACUGUUGUUUCCAAGAUAAAGGAAUUCAAUAGAUGAGGAAGAAGAAGAGUUGAGAAAUGAAGAAGAAUAUGGAUACAUGACCUGUGACAGCUCACAUCCUGAUAAACUUAAACGCGAGAGUUUCGGGAGACUCAGAAUAACAUCUACCCAAUGAUUUGUUUUGGCCAGUGAAAUCCCAUCCAUUUCAAGUACCUCCAAAUGAGAUAGAGGAGACAACCACUCCAGGUUCUCAAGUCUACACAUUCCAACAUAUGAAAGGUAAAGGUAUUGCAAGUUGGUGAGGUUUCCGAACUCUGGAGGAAUGGUUCCAUAAAGAGAGUUAAAAGAAAGGUCAAGCUCUAUUAAUUCAGUCAAGGAACCAAUGGACCUGGGAAUGGUUCCAUUAAGAUUAUUGCCGCCAAGGUCAAGGUACCUUAAUCGAGUCAAUGAACCAAUGAAGGUGGGAAUGGUUCCAUGAAAAGAAUUGGAGUAAAGAUUAAGAUGAUUCAAGUAGGUUAAAUUAACCAAUGAAUGGCUAAUCUCACCUACAAGACCACAGGACAUCAGGUCAAGGUAUUUUAAUUCUGUCAAGGAACCGAUGGACCUAGGAAUGGUUCCAUAAAGAGAGUUGUAAGAAAGUCUAAGGUACCUUAAUUGGGUCAAGGAACCAAUGGACCUGGGAAUGGUUCCAUGAAAUGAAUUUUCAGAAAGAUCAAGAUAAUUCAAGUAGGUUAAGUUAACCAAUGCAUGGCUAAUCUCACCUACAAGACCAAAGGACAUCAGAUCAAGCUCUGUGACAUGACCUGUUUGGUUGUUGCACGUCACUCCACUCCAUUGACAGCAGUUGUCUUGUUCAGAUGUCCACAUAGAGAGAUGAUCAGAAGGGUCUUGAAGGAGAGAUUUGAAAUGAAGGAGAGCAUUUUUCUCCUUCUCAAAACACUUAUCAUCUCCUCCUCCCACUGCUGCCAAUUGGUUGGCAGUUGUAGUCUCAAGACAAAACAAGAGAAGUGAGAAUAUUAAAAAAACACAAGGAUGCAUGAUGUAAAAUUGUAAAUGCAAAUCUUAAUUGGUGAUGUUUUUUGUUUGUAUUGAUGAAAAUUUGAAGAUGCCCCAUGCAGCUUUAUAUAGUGCUGCCAACUGUGAAAAUGAAGGAUUCAAGUGGAUGGCCUCAAACUGCACACCUAUCUUGGGGUCAUUUAUUUAGGAAAUAAGAUAAAAUAUUAUCCAUCAUAGUGAAAUUACAAUGCAUAAAAUAUUUCUCUUGAGAAUGGUAGGAACAAAAUUCUUUUUUUUUUUUUACCUUUUUUUUCCUCAAUAUGGAAACAUUUUUUAAGUCUAAAAAAUAAUAAAUUCUCAUUUUUUUAAUAAAAUAAAACACUAAAUAAUGAAAAUUCAACACCAUUCAUCAAUGAAUACAUUGUUAAAAAAAAUUGUUUUUUAUAUCGCUAUGGAUGUUUAAUUGUAAGGCCUAAAAACAUAUAAGUUUUGGUAUAUUUGUUAAAAACAAAUAAUUAACAUUCACCCUCGAAAACAACAUAUUCACCAAUGAAAUAAAGUGCUAAAAAACACUUCCUUAUUAAACUAAGUUGGUAGUUUAGAAUCAGAUUGUUAAUAUUAUUACUCUUUAGGGUAUCAAAGUGUAAUUAUUCUUUUCUUUAUAUUUGGUUGUAAUAUUGUCCAAAUUAAUAAUAAAAAUCACGUUAUCAAUUUCUUAUUUCUGUUAUGGUAUCAGAGAGUACUUUCCUCUAACCCUAAUCCCAGUUGGAGCGGCAACCCUAAAAUUCAGACUGCAAUUACAGUCUCUGUUCCUGCCAAUCAACAGCAAUCAGGUAAUCGUGAGCCCUGAAGUUUUUCGUUCUAUUGUUUCUCAUUGUUCCUUACCUGUUUCGGACAAAUUAUCAAAUAAUUUAUGUUCUUCUUGUCAAUGUGGAAAAUCAUCAAAACUAUCUUUACCUGAUUCUACCUUUCAUAGCACUAAUAUUUUAGAUCUUGUUUAUUGUGAUGUUUGGGGUCCCUCUCCUGAACCAUCCUUUGAUGGUCAUCGUUAUUUUCUUUUGUGUGUUGAUCAUUAUACUCGUUAUAUGUGGAUUUAUCCUUUAACUCAAAAAUCGGAUGUUCACCCCAUUCUCACAAACUUUAUCACCAUGACUGAACGUCAAUUCAACACUAAACUAAAAUGUAUUCAAUCUGACUGGGGGGGUGAAUUUCGCCCUCUCACCAAUCUCUGUCGCAGCCUUGGCAUCAUUCAUCGGCGGUCUUGUCCUCACACCAGUGAGCAAAAUGGCUUUGUUGAACGUCGUCAUCGUCACGUUGUGGAAACUGGACUCUCUCUGUUGGCUCAUUCCAGUCUUCCUCAACGUUUUUGGAACUUUGCUUUUGAAACAGCUGUAUACCUCAUAAAUCGCCUCCCUUCUCGUGUCUCAUCCAACAAAACCCCUUUUGAACAUGUCUUCAAACGUAAACCUGAUUACUUCUUCUUACGAGUUUUUGGCUGUCAAUCUUUUCCUUUUCUUCGUCCGUACAAUCAUCAUAAAAUUGAAUUCCGGUCUACUCCUUGUGUUUUUCUUGGCUACAGCCCUGCUCACCAUGGUUAUCGUUGUCUUGAUCCCUCCACUGAUCGGAUCUACAUUGCUAGGCAUGUUCGCUUCAAUGAACACGUCUUUCCUUAUCAGCCUUCACCAAUACCUCCACUACCUUCUACCUCUCCUUACAUCUCUAAUUUUCCCGAACCACCACCUAGUUUUCCAUCUGACCCAACCCGACCUCCACAGUCUCCACCAUCAUCACCACAAUCUCCACCAUCAUUAUCUCAAUCUCCUUCACCAACUAAUACCAACUUACCACCUCCACCACCAGCUCCUCGGCCUCGGCCAUCCAACCUUCGCCCUAAUCCUAAACAACCAGAUCGAUACAACCCCGCUGCCUACACCACCUCCACCUCCACAUCUCCUCCCCUUGAACCAACCAACUUUACCGUUGCUAACAAGUUUUUAGAAUGGCGUCAAGCAAUGGCCGAAGAGCUAUCUGCGCUCCAUAGGAAUGGCACGUGGACCCUUGUUCCCCCUGUCUCUAAUGCUAAUAUUGUUGCUUGUAAAUGGGUUUACAGGGUAAAAACUGAUGAACAUGGAAAGAUUACCAGGUACAAAGCCCGUCUCGUGGCAAAAGGCUUUAAUCAACAACAUGGUGUGGACUAUCAUGAGACUUUCAGUCCGGUUAUCAAGCCCGCCACCAUUCGUACNAAGCCCGCCAAUUCGUACGGUUCUCUCUCUAGCUGUCAGCAACAAAUGGCCCCUCAGACAGUUAGACAUUCAGACUGCUUUUCUUCAUGGAGAUCUUGAGGAAACCGUAUACAUGCGCCAACCUCCGGGCUUUAUUGAUCAAACCAAACCUGAUCACAUAUGCUUGUUGCAUAAGUCCUUGUAUGGCCUCAAGCAGGCUCCUCGGGCUUGGUUUACAAAGUUGUCUACUCCGCUUCAUCAGCUGGGAUUUUAUGGGUCCAAAACCGAUCCCUCCCUUUUUAUACUAAACUCAUCUGGCUCUCUUGUCUAUCUUCUGGUUUACGUGGAUGACAUCAUCAUCACCGGUAACAACUCCACUGUUGUUGACUCACUCAUUCAGAAACUCAAUUCUCUUUUUGCACUUAAGGAUAUGGGAGAGCUGCACUAUUUUUUGGGAGUUGAAGUUGUUCACAAGGGGUCUGACUUGGUUCUUUCCCAACGGAAAUAUAUUCGUGAGAUCUUACACCGUGCUGGUCUUGCCGAAUGCAGGCUAAUAUCAACUCCUAUGAGCACUUCUCACGUGUUGUUACCCGAUGAUAGCCCCUUACUUGAUGAUCCUUCUCGUUACAGGCAGACAGUUGGAGCUCUUCAGUAUGCUACUCUUUCUCAUCUUGAUAUUGCUUUUGCAGUUAACAAAGUCUGCCAGUUCAUGCACGCUCCUACUGAGAACCAUUGGGCCGGUGUCAAACGCAUCCUUCGUUAUCUUAAGGGCACUAUCGACUUGGGGUUAUGGAUUCGACAUAAUACGGGGUAUCAGCUUCAAGCCUUUUCCCAAUUGGCACUCCAAUCUUCAUGCCUUCUCGGACUCUGACUGGGCAGGUUGCCCAAUCGAUCGUCGAUCCACGGGGGGAUUUGCUAUCUAUUUAGGUUCGAAUCUCAUCUCUUGGUCUGCUCGCAAGCAGAAAACUGUAUCUCGAUCUUCAACAGAGUCCGAGUACAAGGCUAUUGCAGAUACUGUUGCUGAAUUGAUUUGGUUGAAGUCCUUGCUUCGAGAACUUGGUUUGGUUAGCACGGCACCCACACUUUGGUGUGACAAUCUUGGUGCAACAUAUCUCACGGCUAAUCCAGUUUUUCACGCUCGUACUAAACAUGUUGAAGUUGACUAUCAUUUUGUUCGUGAACAAGUAACUCAGGGAAAACUAAAUGUCAAGUUCAUCUCUACAAACGACCAAAUUGCUGAUAUUUUUACAAAGCCCCUGUCAUCUCAGAAGUUUGAGUUUUUGCGUUCCAAGUUGCAGGUUGCUAACCGCCCUGAACUUGCGGGGGAAUAUUAAACUAAGUUGGUAGUUUAGAAUCAGAUUGUUAAUAUUAUUACUCUUUAGGGUAUCAAAGUGUAAUUAUUCUUUUCUUUAUAUUUGGUUGUAAUAUUGUCCAAAUUAAUAAUAAAAAUCACGUUAUCAAUUUCUUAUUUCUGUUAUUCCUAUAUCAAUAUAGAUGUCUACUUUUACGUCAUAAAAAAAGAUUUUGUAAAUUUGUUUUUAUUUUUCAAAAAAACCAAUGCCCUGAUAGGUAAAAAAAAAAAAAAAAAAAAAAGUAACAUUCAUCAAUGAAAACGUCAUGUUCAUCGAUGAACAAACUGCUAAUAAAGACUUUGUAUAUCUAUAUGGAUGUCUUAUUGUAUAACAUGCAAAUAUAUAUAAUUUUGGUAUUUUGGUUUUCAUUUUUCGAAAGAAAAAAAAUACAAGUUUAAAAGAUAAAAAAUAACAGGAUAGGCAUAUUCAUCAACUAAUGGUUUAUUAUUUCUCCUUUUUACAACUAUAUUCUUUUCAAAAAAAAAUAUACUAAAAUUUAUUAUUUUUAUGCUCUAAAAAGAUGACAAUAUAAAAAAAAAUGUUUUUGCCAAUUUUAACAAGAAUUAUCUUUCCAUUUUGUUGACACACCUUGUGAGUUGUAAUUCGUGUAGAGCAUAAAAUCCAUAUUUUUCUUUGAAAUAGAACCAAACUAUAAGACAAAUUAGAAAAGAAGAUUUGAAAUAAACUGCUCCAAAUCACACGUUCAAAGACUUAUACAUCGUGUGGGGCAUAAAAUCCUUAUUUUCCUUCAAAGUAGAACCAUUUUAUAAGACAGGUUAGGAAAAAAAAAAAAAAAAAAAAAAAAAAAAAAAAAAAAAGUGGAAAUAAAUUGCCCCAAAUCAUACGUUCAAAGACUUAUAGAUCAUGUGGAGCAUUAAAGAUGAAGAAUUGAAAUGAAUAGCUUCAUAUUAAACGUUCAAAUGUGUAUAUCUUGUCUGGAGCAUAAAGAACUUAAUUAAUCCCAAUGGGACCAUAACCAAAAUAUAAGACAAAUUAGACAUGAAUAAUUGAAAUAAUUUGCCCCAAAUUAGACGUUCCAAGACAUUCAGGUCUUGGAAAUUUGUAUUUUUCCUAUACAUUAGUACAUAUCCUUUUUGGAUAAAAUAAGACUAAUUAUUUUUGUAUUUUGGACUGAAUGAACCAUUCGAAUAAGAGAAAAUGACCAUUUUACCCUUCUAUCUAAAAGUGAUGUAGAAUCAAAUUGUUUAUUUGAAACUACUGUAAUUUGAAACUAAAAAUCACUGUGAUGUGAGAAAAACUACAAUAACUGUCCUGGUCUUGUAUAAUAAGGAAAUACCAUGUGAAUUUUUUCCUACAGAUAGAGCAAAACCUUUUUCAAAGGAUCGUUUCUCCAAACAGCAAAUCAGAAUGCAAAGGAGUUGUUAUACUCACAAAUAUUGAAUUAAACCCCAAUUUAACAAGGAUUCAUGCCUCUAAUAUUCCCCUUCAGUUAUUAAACAGCUUCUAUUUAUGUCUAAUUGAGACAAUUCUUCCAAUCCUAUGCAGAUUUAAUCUCCUAAACAGAUCUAUGAUACCAUUUAGAAAAGUCCCAACAUAAACAUAAACCCAGAAACAACUUUAAUUUAGGGAAUCAAUUAAAGUUUUUCUCAAUGGAAACAAAAAGGCACCGUUCAACGUCAAAACUAAACAAAUUUGAAGAAAAGAAAAAGAAACAUGGAAACAUCAUUUAACAGAAAAGAAAAGGAGAAGAAAAAUCGAGAUUGAUGGAACAAAAAAGAGAAUAGAGAUGAUCGAGAAUGAGUAGUUGAGAUGGUCCAACAACUUAUCCAAACACUUAAAUUAGCUUAUUGUGGGAAUAAGCAAUAAGCACCUCUUUUUUUCCUAUUCAAACACCCCCUAAAAGAAGCACGAGGAUGAAGUAGUAAAAACUUGGGUAAAUUAUACGAAUGAUACCUCAGGUGUGGGUAAUCUAUGCUGAUCUAUAUCUUCUUUUUCUAACUCGGACGUCCCUACUGUUUGAUUUUACUACAUCUUUGGUCCCUACUACUCUUAAAAAGAUUGUUUUGCUCUAAUAUUUUGUUAUAUUUUAAAUCAUUUUUAAUAAGAAAGUGAGCAUCUCUAUUCAUAGUGUAUAUAUGUGUGGCACACUUCAUGCACAUUGUUCACACAACUCGUGGCUCCAUCCAAAGCUUGCCACAUGUCACACUUCUAGUGGUCCACGUCACUCCAAUCUCGACGAAUCUGGGUGUCAGACGUGCACAUCGAGCAUGACACGCACUUCGCGUGCAUCACUAAGUUUUCUAUAAAAAUUCAUAUCUUCCUUUUAUGAAUCGUGUUUCUUACCCUCUUUAUAUAUUAUGUAGCUUUCCUUGGGUACUACAACUUUCCUUAAGGUUGUGUUGUAAAAUUUUAACAUUUAUUUUUAACCAAUAUUUUAUAUUUUUCCAAAAAUCGCAUCUUUUUAUAGGGACUCCAUUUUUGAGCUUUUUCAUUUCAGAGUAUUUAUCUCUCGGAGUACUAUGAUCUUCCUUUUAGUGGGUUUAGUCAAAACUUAACCGAUUUAUUUAUAUUAUUUUGACGUUAAUUAUGUUAACAACGCAACGGAUUUUUACCAUUUACAAAAUCAUAACUCCUCUAAUCGGAGUCAGAUUUCUACAAAGUUUAUAGCAUUGGGAUCACGUUAUUGUGUACUUUCUAAAUACACUAACCAUUAUUUCUAGCGAUAUAACUUUUUGGUCAAUCACUUUUUACCCUGUUAAUAUUUUUCUUACUUAAAAAUCAUGGUAUAUCUUACCAUAUUUUCCCAAAAUAUGAAAACUGUAUUGCUACCAUUUGUCUCUAGUGACGGUUGUAGGUGGAAAUGUUUCUGAUUGUCACACCUUGUAUGGGCUGAAACAAGCCCCACGAGCCUAGUUUCACCGAUUGUCUAGAGCUGUCCACAAUCAUGGCUUAAAGGAUCUCACACUGAUCCCUCUCUUUUUAUAUUGUCAACUAAGGGUACACGGAUUUUUAUGUUGGUUUACAUUGACAAUAUCAUUAUUAAUUGUAGGAAACAAUCUAGGUGUUAUUGAUUAAGUAGUUUGCAGUCUCAGUCAAACUUUUGCUCUUCAAGACAUGGGAGCUCUAUCCUACUUUCUUGGUGUUUCGGUUGCAUAUUGUGGCACUAAUCUUUUUCAAUCUCAACAACAAUAUGUGUUGGAUAUUUUACAACAUACAUGCCUUGCGGACACUAAGCCAGUCAGCACUUCACUUCCAACCGAUGCACUUGUUCCCUCGGCGAUACUCCUCUCUAUGAGAAUCCUGUUUGCAAUCGUUAAGUUGUUGGUGUUCUCCAAUAUGUUACAUUAUAUAGACCCGACAUCAUUUAUACAGAUUGUCAGUUCGUGCGUUCUCCAACAACCAAACACUGGUCUACUGUUAAACAGAUUCUAAGGUAUCUUUGGGGCACCAACAAUUUUAGACUUCGGCUCACACCGUCGCGUGACACCACUAUUCAUGCAUAUGGAGAUGCAAAAGUUGUGGUUACCGCCUACUCUAAAGUUAAUUAGGUUAUGUUGGGUGUCCGGAUGGUCGUCGAUCCACCAGGAGACAUGAAAUCUAUCUCUCAUGUAUUAUGUUAAUGAUCAAUAAUACAAUACGUUUACAUCAAGUUUACUCCUAACUUUAGUAAACUAGGAAUGGUCUUUAUGGUUUUGAAUCUGCAUCUAUGGGUUUCUAACUCUACUUUUUUCCAAUUAGAGAGUUCUUAUAGUUUGAUUUCAUUUUGAGUGAUCAAGUAUUAACAAAACCUAUAUAAAUGUGAACAAAUUAUAUAUAUAUUUAUGGUUAUAGCGCCAGGGUCCCAUGUGGACAUGAGGCUGAUCCCAUUCACUAUAGAGACACUCACUCACUGAGUAUAAAAGUAAGAAAAUGUAUGUUUUAAUAAUCUUUUUCAAAGUACUGAAAAUGUAUGUAUGAGAGAUAGAUUGCAUGUUGAACCAAACCUGUCAAUGUCGUUUUUGUAAUUAACUCUCCAAUGAAGAACCCACUUCCCUGGAAGGUUGUAUCCUACAGUUAGUUGCCAAUUUUCUUCAUCCUUACCACUGUCUAAUUUGAUUGAUAUAAAUGAUAAAUACAAUUAACAAAGUAAAUAACCAAAAUGACCUUUUGGUAAAGCGAAACUUACAGAAUGUAUCCUAUCUAACCAUGGGGUAAACCCGUUGGAACAAUUAAAGAUGAUGUAUGAAAUGAAGUAAGUUAAGCAUUUUAAAAAACAGUUUGUGUGCAAAAAAAAUUGUGCUUAAAGGAAAUUUCAUGUAAAAUCACUUCUUUGCCUACUGUGAUAACAAUCACAUGAGGAAGAAAGUAAUAAAAAUCAAAACCUAAAACUAUAGUUGCUAGUUUAUCAGGGUGGGAAUCAAAUAGCUUACCGGAGUUGAGGAUACGCCAGAUGCAUGACUACUUCAAUGGUGGACGAUAAAGGGAGAGCAUCGGGCGCAAAUGGUGAACGGAGGAGUGAGAGAUGCAUAUGAGGAACUGAUUCGUGUGUCACCAAAUUUCUUGUAUGUUUAAAAACGAUAUCCAACCCAAAACAUCAACAAUCCCAAUGUAUCGCCAAAUGUCAUACGAAUGCCACGUAUCCAUGAAGCCGAAGAUGGAAAAUCGACAAAACUAAAAACCAUGUUUUGUUCAUCGGCUGAAGGCCUGAAGCACAAGACUAAACUGCAAAGUUGUAACUAUUCAUAAGCCGUAUCCACAAUUAAUAUGUUAUAUAAUAUCCUACAAAUUGUAAGCACAAGACUAAACUGCAAAUUUGGUAUCUGUGGUUAUCAAAAAAAUGUGGAUAGAAUCCAAAUUUUUUUUAACUUGUACCAUUGGUCCAAAAUCGAAUUCUUUUUGUGGUUUUGGUCCCAAGAAAAGUUGAAAUGACUUUUUUGCCCUUUUACUUUUAUUUUUGAAUUUCUUUACUAUUUUUUUAACAUUUAAAAAAAAGAAAAAGAAAAAAUAAAGUGGCCAAUAUUCUACCCACCCGUAACCCUGCUCUCUUUUUUACAUUUUUCAUCUCUUUGACUCCCCUCCCCCUCUUUUUUACAUUUUUCAUCUCUUUGACUCCCCUCCCCCGUCUCCUUCCUACCACCACUAUUGUUGUCUUCAUCCCUUCGCUUUCUCUACGUUAAGCACAUUAACCUACAAAACUUACAUAUGUUCUUCACUUUCUUUACAACCACUAAUCAAAUAUCAAAAUACAAAAAACACUUCACAUGUAGAUACACCUACAUGUAACUUUAAAAAAAAAAAAAAAAAAAAAAAAAAAAAAAAAAAACCACCCCCUGCCUUGUACCUCCCUCUCUCUCUCUCUCUCUCUCUCUCUCUCUUAGAUCUGCAAAAUCCCUUUUACAACACAAUUAAUAUGAUCGAUGACUACACCAAAAUAUCAUGGAACGGUGGGAGGUUAAUCUAAACCAUCCAUGCUAGAAACCAAUCUUUAACAUUUUGCGUAGCUAUUCAACCUCUCCAGAAAAUGGUAGAAAUCGAUCUCUAAGAUAUGAAGCACAAAAAAAACUAUGAGAUGUAUCAGAACAAUAGGGAAGAAGUAAACAAACUGAUUCCCACCCCCAGCCUGUUCCUGUCUCUGCCUCCUCCAUUCCCUCCUCUACUCUCCCGUUGUUGGUUACCGAAACACCAACAACCAACUAAAGAGAAUUGGUUCCUCAAGAAUCCUCAAAUUGAAGAUGCCACACAUAACCUAAUCAGGUAAAAAUGAGAUUUCUUCAGCGGAGAUAAUAUUUGGAGCAACCCCACUCCUGAUGAACAUAAUCAAGAAACCCAAAAUAGAAAAAUUAGGGUUUUUGUCAACAACUUCUCAACCAUUGGAACUGAUCAAGAUGCAGGUCCUAAAGUAGAAACAAUCUUCGUUUUCGGCCUCUACAUACCAACUAGUUGCGAGCUCUAGCCAAUUGCCAUUUGAUCGAUAUUCUUUUCGAUCGAAUCCCUCUGUUAUAUCCUCCUUGGAAAACACCACCAGCUCUUCCCUAAUUUUCAUCAUGUACAUCCCUUGGGGACAACGAAAUGGGUCGGUGCUGGAAUCUCAGCUUUCUUGUUGGUUCUGAUUUUAGUGUGUUUUGGUUUUUGAUUAGGUGAAGAAGUAGUGAAGUGAAGGAGUUCGAUGGGUAUCAUGUUCCAAAUUGAGGAUACAACACAGAAAAAACGGGAUAGAUAGGGAAGAAAGAGAGAGAGAGAGAGAGAGAGAGAGAGAGAGAGGGGAGGGAGAAGGAGAGAUAAAGAUGAGGGUACAUAUGGUGUGGGUGGGCCAUUUUCUUUUUUCUUUUUCAUUUUUUUAAAUAUAAAAAAAGAGUAAAAAAUUCAAAAAUAAAAUUAAAAGGGCAAAAAUGUCAUUUCAACUUUUCUAGGGACUAAAACCACAAAAAGAAUUCAAUUUCGGACUAAUGGAGCGAGUUGAAAAGAUAUUGGACUCUAUCCAUAUUUUUUUGAUAACCACAGUGACCAAAUUUGCAAUUUAGUCUAAGCACAACUGGACCACUUUUACAAAUUUAAUAUAAUAUAUAUCAUUUUUAUAAUUUCGUAUAAACUAUUAGGAAAGUGGUUACUUAUUUAAAAGGUUGCAGAAAUCGCUCAAUGUAGGCUAAUUGGUGGACUCGGUCAAGGGUUAAUCGGUUAGGCGAUGAUUAAUCGGGGACCAUUAAUUAUUAAAAAAUUAUUAAAAAUUAAUAAAUAUGACAUUAAUGCUAAGAAUAUAAGUCAACAAGUUAACAAAUAAUAAAUAUGUAGUACAUAAUUUAUUUUUAUUUUCAAUUUGGCAUGCUAGUUAGAAGCUUGAUUAUCACGAAUGUCACAAACACCAUAAGAACCACAUAAUCCAUAUUGAUCACAAUUAUCUAUUUGUGCACUCAAAUCAGGUGUUUCGGCUUCCACGGAUAUCAAAGCAGUGUGUACUUUCCCAACCCAAUUGAAUGAACGCGACAUAGUUCUUGAUAGCAAACUAAAAGCAUAGACCCUACAAAUAAUUGAAAACUAUGAUCAAGAAAACAUUAAAAAUCGAUAUAGAUAGAAAUGUAAUUAACCAAGAUCAAGCAAACAUUAAAAAUCUGAGAUCAAGCAGACAUUAUGUACCUUGAUAUUUCACUUAAGUAAAAAUCUGAUCUCCUGUAAGUUCGAGACCAAUAAUAGAUAACAAGCUACGAUUGUGAAAUAUUUCUAGAGUAGUCGUCAUCGUUGCUUGAGCACAAUCGUUAACAGAUAACAAGCUACAAUUGUGAAAUAUUUCCAGAGUAGUAGUCGUCGUCGCUUGAGCACAAUCGUUGAGCAAGUGACAAUAAAUGAGCACCGUCUGGCUAUGGAGAAGAAGUGGAAGGUGAGAAAGACGAGGACGAAGCUUGAGGUUGAAGACUAGGACAACAGCAAACAAUGUUUCUAUUUCUUUUAUUCUUGGGAGUUCUUUAUUUGACAACUUCAAUGGUGCAUCACGAAAGAAGAAAGAAGACAUGUCAAUUUAUUGUAAGAGAAGGAUGGUGCGAUUUUUUUAUUGAGUAUCCUACAUCACCGGUGGGAUAAAAAAAACAGAGGGAAAACAUUUCUAUAAAAGCGUAGCUCCCUUCUUUGAAAACCAAACCUAAUUAAGUUUUAGGCUAGCCGACUCCUUUGAGUUGGUGGGUCCAUUAAAUUUAAAUGGUCCGAUUUUGUCCAAUUUGGACCAAAUUGGUCUGGUUUUGACCGAUAUUGACCAAGGCCAAUUAGUUAACCCUCUAACACUUAUUCAUAGGCGGUUGGAAGUCGUCUAGCACCUAGGUGCCGAUUAAUCGGCGCCUAGGCCAAUUUUUACAACCAUGCUUAUUUACUAUAAUAUAGAUCAUUUAUAUAAUUAUAUUUUAAACUAUUACAAAAGUGGUUACUUUUAUAAUUUUACUAAUGUAUAAGGACUAUUUCCGUAAUUUUACAUUUUCUGUUAUUAUAUAUGCACCAUUUCUAAAAUUUUACAAUUAUACAAGAGCUAUUUUCGUAAUUUUACAUAUUAAAAAGAUAGGCAUCAUUCCUUAAAUAUUUGCAUUUUGUCUACAUACGGACAAGUUCUAGAUACUUACUAUUACAUAAAGACCAUUUCUAUAAAAAAAAUUGACAAAAUUCUACAAAUGGUCCUUAUGGUUUUGAUUUUAUCCCCAAAAAGUCAUUAUAAAACCUUUUCUUUUGCAUGAAUGGUCUCUAUCGAUAAAACUUUGCACUCCAAUCGUCCGGUGAUGGAUGUCUGUUAAAUGGAGUCGUUAAGUUGAAGAGAUUUUAGAUAAGGACCAUUUCUGAUAUUUUGUGAAAUUUCGCCUAAGAAUCAUUUUUGAAAUUUAAAACAAGUUUAUUAAAUCAUGUAUUAAUUACCAUAAAUCAAAUAAAAAAACAAACUAAAAGAUACAAUGUUACAAAUGCUUCUUACUUGUCUUCAACCUCCAAAGCUUCCUCUCACUAAAGAUUAUAAUUGUUGGUGCACGCAAAACUCUAAUUAAACUCUAAUUUGUAUAUUAACCUUAUGUUUAUAUUACAAAGUUGAUCCUUUUUUUUUGGACAAAUGUUUGUUAUAUUCCAAUAUUUUGCUACUUUUACGAAAGGAAUUAUCAUUCAUUGUCUAUUUUUUUUACUAUAUAGGUGGAUCUUGAAGAAGAUGCGACACAUAACAUCAAUACAAAGAGUUACAUCCUCAUCAACUUAUAAUGAAGUUAUGUCUUCAAAAUUUGAUGGAAAUCAAGAAAAGAUAGUGGAAUUAAAGCUUCAAUUAAUGAUUUUCCAUAUUCCAGAGGUGGGUCGAUCCCAAGAGGUGGGUCGAUCCCAAAAACGUGUUACUGAUUACAAAUGUUUCAUUUAAUUGAAACAUUAGGUUACAACCCGUGGAAACCACGGGUAAAAAAUUUAUAAAACAUUUAUAAUUAUUAUUAAGAAAUUUUUGUUUUAAGUAUUUUCUCCAUUAAUCUUUGGUGAAGCUACUUAAAAUAACAUUAGGAAGACUUUAUGUUUAGACGAUAUAAAGAAAUUAAUUUAAUUUACAUAAUUUGUGUAUAUAACUGGUUAUCCGUUGAAAUACCAAUCAUAUAUUCUGUCAGGUACAAAUAUUGGUGAUUCAAAUGAUAUGUCCAAGAAGAUUCAACUAAUAACUAAGAACCUCGAUAAUGUGUUUUAUAUGAGAUUAAAUUAUAUUCUCUUGUUAACUUGAACUCCAAAAUAGGGUAUAAAGCUUGAAGGUAAAAUGGGAAAAUCUCACAAUUAAUGUUUAUGAAUUAUUAGUUUUUUAUUUUAUUUGAUGAUACGUAUGAACUCUUUCUAAAGUAAAAAUAUACUUAUUAAUCAUAUUUGCAAUGUAUAAGGGUGUUGAUGUUGAUGUUUGUUUGUUUUUUUUUUUUUUUUUUUUUUUUUUUUUUUUAUUUUUUUUUUUUUUUUUUUUUUUUUUUUUUUUUUUUUUUUUUUUUUUUUUUUUUUUUUUUUUUUUUUGCCGAAAUCACAUAUAAGGCAUAUGAUUUGAUACAAAUGAUUAGGGAAAACUAAAGAGUUCCAGAAAGGUAAAAAAAAUUGCACUUCUAUUACUCAUUAAUGGUUUCAUGUUAAUCAUAAGUAUCGUAGUGUUAGUAAGUAAACAAAUGGAACGUUGCUAUUUUUUGAAUCGUAGCAAAAGUUAUAAAUAAAAUAAAUAUAAAAAUGUAAUAGGAGAUUUAGAUAUUAAGAUAUUGCAUUUUCUGAUAAUAACCAUGAUUAAAUGAUACAUUAUAGUUAAGUUAUAUAGCACAGUUUCCAAAAAUUGCAAUAAGACUAUGUUAUAAGGAUCAUAUGUGCCACAAGUUAAACAUUUGGACCGAUUACAUACUUUAAUUAUUCAUAAAAUACCAUUCAUACAAUUUACUGAGUAUAUUGACAUAAGAAUUAUUUUUUAGCGGAAGGAUAAUUCAAACUUUGACUUGUUGAUACGAAAUUAAUGUAUUAUAACAAUGUAAAAGGAUAGUUUUAAACAAUAAACAACCGUAUUGUCAAACAGAAAAACUGUAAAACAAAAUCUAAUAAAUAGAGAUUAUCUAAACAAUGAACGUAGAUGGUGGCACUCUAGUAUCAAAUCGUAAUCAUCCUUCAUAUUGUCCAAGUCUUUAAUUAAAGUGAUGUUUCUCUCUGUCAUUGUCACUGUAACAAAAUAUAAAAGAAGAAAAUAUUAUGUUAGCAGAAUGUAUAAUGUGAGUAGAUUAGAAUAAAGGUCAUUUUCAAAUCGAUUAUUCUACCUAAAACUUCAAAUUUGUGAUUAUUAGUGUAUAUAAAAAAAAUUUCAUUCCACAGUUAAGAAAUACACUAAUAAUCACAAAUUUGAAGUUUCAGUUAGAAUAAUCGAUUUGGAAUAUUGAGACACAUCAUAAGUAUCAUAAGUAUUCAGAACAUAAGUAAAAGGGAUUCACGAAAGAAAUGGAAUUUGCAGGAAAAAAAAUUAAAAAGAAAAAGAUUUCAAGGCUAAUUAAAUGGUCUUUUGUUUUUUUGAUUUCGUUUAAUAAAAUGGGUUAUCUUCAUAUUGGAUUUUGGAAUAGCAAAACACAUAUAUCAGGAAGAAGUAUGGAUAUGAAGUAUAAAGAACUUGGAACAAAUUUGGAAGGAGAGACAACUGAUAUCACAACACCCAAAACAGUAAGUAUCAAAAAUGUUGAAAGGGUGAAUUCAAGAUAAGUAGAAUGCUAUGAUGAUUCUUAAAUAUACUAAAAUACUAAUGCUAACCUAUGAUAUUCGAAUGAUGUUGACACUACAGCAGCAUGAAGCUAUUUUUCUGUGAGGAAGCAGUUAAAGGAACUACAGGAUUCCAGGAUUACAAGUUAGAAGUUAGAAAAUAGUAAAUAUAUAUGAAUACGGACCAUUAUGGUAUGUAUUAAUUCCGAUAUAAUUUCCUAUUUUUUGGGAUUAGACUUUAUUUCAGAAUUCAAAUUCAAAUUAAUGAUUGCAUACACAUUCCUUAUAUAGAGGAUUGCAUACCAAAUAUAUUCAUUGUGCAUUAAAUAUUUUCGUGGAGUAAAUAGGAAACAAAUAUGGAGUUAUAUUCAGAAAAAUAAGACGAAGGGCAUUACGGUCAAUUUACAAUAAUCGAAAGAUGGAUAUAGAGAGAUGCCAUGUGUACAAAAGGUUUCAUUUAUUAGAUAGGUAGAUUUACAAUUGAUGGACAAACUAAGCCUUGAGUAAUUUACCAUUCCCAAACGGUGUCUGAAGUUGUAAAAUUCCUUUAAACCAUCAACAAUGUUGGUUGGUUGCAACAUUCUAUUCUACAAUUGUUGAGCACCCUUGUGAUAUUACCUUUUUAACCUUUUUUCUAAAGUUCUAACUUCCUAAAAAGCAUCAUCAAACAACUUCAUCAACAUCAUUAGAAGAGCUAACACUAAUAUAAGGAUUAUUAGGCUUAAUGACUUGUACCCCGUCCUCUGAAUCAACUAGCUUCCCAUCUUCUUCAUCCACAACUUCAUCAACAUCGUUUUCUAGCCCAAUUUCUCUAUUUCAUUCCUUUUAUUCUUGAACUCCAUUGCAGGUUUGCAUCGCUAGUCAGUGUCAUCUGAAUGAAAAGAAAGAAUUAUCUUCAAAAGGUCGGUCCGCCUUCCAAGUGUUUGAUGAAAUGUCUGAAAGAAGUGAAUACUGAUUGCUAAGAAUAAAUUUGUUUCAUGUGUUUGAUCUUGAUUUCUAAUUCUUCAUUUUUCUUCUGACCUUUUUAUCUACAGACAGGGCUCUCAUAUUGCUUACCUGUUGUUGUAUGUGGAUGAUAUAAUUCUCACCAGCUCCUCUCCUCAACUUCUGACUCAUAUCAUUAAGCUGCUUGGAUCCGAGUUUUCUAUGUCCGAUCUUGGAGAUCUUCAUUAUUUUUUAGGUAUCGCUGCCACCCAGACUGCUGAUGGCCUGUUUUUGUCUCAACAGAAAUAUGAUAAUGAGAUUCUUGCCCGUGCUUCUAUGUUGAAUUGCAAACCUGCCUCUACUCCAGCCGAUCUUAGCACCAAAUUUGAUGGGUCGGGACCUCCUAUUGCAGACCCUACGCUAUAUCGCAGCCUUGCUGGUGCUCUUCAGUAUUUAACUUUUACUAGACCAGACAUCACGUAUGCCGUUCAACAGAUAUGUCUCUACAUGCAUGAUCCUCGUGAGCCACACUUUGCUGCUCUUAAACGCAUUCUACGUUACGUUCGUGGUACUUCUGAUCAAGGACUUCAAAUUUUUUGUUCUCCAUCUCGUGACAUUAUAGCAUAUUCUGAUGCUGAUUGGGCUGGCUGUCUUGUUACCAGGUGCUCCACCUCAGGUUAUUGUGUCUUCUUGGGGCAUAAUCUUUUAUCCUGGUCCUCUAAACGCCAGUCUACUAUAUCCCGCUCCAGCGCUGAGGCCGAAUAUCGUGGGGUUGCUAAUGCCGUUGCUGAAACAUGUUGGAUUCGGAAUUUACUUCUUGAGCUAUACUACUCUCCUCAUCGAGCUACACUUGUAUACUGUGAUAAUGUGAGUGCUGUUUACAUGUCUUCUAAUCCUGUUCAACAUCAACGGACUAAACAUAUUGAGAUUGAUCUGCACUUUGUUCGAGAUAAGGUUGCCACCGGUCAUGUUCGGGUCCUUCAUAUUCCUUCCAAAUCUCAAUAUGCGGAUAUCUUCACUAAAAGCCUCCCAUCCACUUUGUUUCUUGAUUUUCGGUCCAGUUUGAACGUUCGCCAACCAUCUCCCGUUCCAACUGCGGGGGGUUGUUAAUGGAUCUAUUUGUGUAUUUGUAUUUAUUCUAGUAUAGCCCUUUAUUAUUUAUUUAGGCCUUGUAUAGAUGGCCCAUAGGCAUUAUGUAUAAAACCGUUUCUAAUGUAUGAAAGGAGGGGAGAUGAGAAAUUAUUAAAAUAACAAAUAUAUGAUCUUGUUUUAAGUAAUUGAUCACAAAAUGUUAUGUCCAACUACAUAUCAGUCUUCUGUUGUGCUCCUAUUAAUGAUACCAUUUGAGAACAUCUUUUUCAAAAUAGUUCAUCGCAACCUCCUAACUUUCAUCACUGGACAAUCGAUUUAGGAAAAAAAAAAUUUGGUUUUGGUUCUUGAAUGGCCCUCUGUUUUUUGAUCUUUAUCCAUCUUCAAAUGUUAAUCUAUUUAUUUUAUUUGAUUCUUCUUGAAAUAGCACAACUGACAUAUUUUCCUCUUCCAGGUACCCCAUAUUUUGUUCUUGCUGAUAAUUUUUUAAGAGAUGAAGGUUUUGUUUCACUCUUUUAGGAUUUGUUCCUUUUUUCAUCUUCUUCCUAAACAUCAGCUGACUAAAGAAACUUGGAUGCACUGCUCUUAGUUAUAUCAAAAUAUGUAUUAUUUUUUGUUUAAGAGGCUUAUAAGGUAAAGCUGACUAAAAAAAUUACUGAACAAGUGACAUUAAUAGCAAAAGAUGAAGAUGAAAGUACAUACAUGGGGGUAGUGUUCUGUGGCCUGUGUGUAUGUGUGUGUUUUAAUUAGGGAAAAAACUAAAUUAGUUUUAAUAAGAAAACCAUGCUUCAAAAAGAAAACAUGAAACCAGGAUGCUAAAAUAAAGUCAACGGAAGUACAUGCUAUUUCCAGCAUAUUCUCUUUGACUUUGAACUAUGUUUUAAAUUCAAAAUGCAUGGUACCUUUGAACAAAACAAAAAAAAAAGGUUUAGUUGAGGGGUGACAAUUAACUUUUGUCCAACCAGAGUUUAACCAACUCAUCUUCAAAGGGCAAUAUAACAUACUCACUGCAAAUUCAUUUUUGGACUUCAGACAUACACUUAAAUAGGUUUUUUCUUUAUAUGCUAAUGAUUUUGUAUUCAGUAAAAUACAAUACAUUUGUUCCAUUAGUUUAUUUAUUUUAACAUCAUAUUAUCAUUUUUUUUUCUGAUUACAACAUUGUAUUUUGAAAUAUUUUCUCAUUUCGGUAGAUUUUUCAAAAUACAUUGCCUUAAGAAAUGUUGUGUUACUGUAACUCUAUGCUAUGCUUCUGGAUCGAGUUUUCCAAGUAGAAACAUGAUUAUUAAAGUCCAUGUGCAGAAUUUUUUCAAAAGCAAAUGGUUCACAUGUUAAAAAAAAAUUAGAAAAAUGGUCCCUAACUAAUAGAAAAUUUGGAAAUUAUGAGUUUCACAACCCCAAUUGGAAAUUACCCCGCACAAAGUGAGGAACGGGCAAUUUCUAGUAAUGAGAUUUAACAUUGAUUUACUGAUGAACAAAUAAGGCCUUUUGAAACAUAUAUGGUGUAUAUUAUUAUAUAGUCUUGAAGAAAAGCAACGUAUAUGGAUGGAUAAUCCUUUGAGAAAUAUAUUUCCUACAAAAUUUCUUCAUUAACCUAAGUUUAUUUGUCAAAUAUGGAUAAAAAAGUAAUUGACUGUAUGUGUACAACUACAAAACUUCAUUACUGUCACAAGUUUAACCGGGACCGGAGAAGUCAUUGGAAACUGGAAUAACCUUUAAUUACCGUUCAUAAUGGUACCUUUUGAAUAUGUUAGGUAAGUUUAAUAGUCAAACGUAUACAAAAAAGAUGACCAAAUGUGAACAAAUGUGAUAGAUGGUUACUGUCAUAAGUCGUUUUCCCUUUUUAUUAUUAUGCUUCUUCUUCUUUUUUUUUUUUUUUUAACUUUCUUAAAUAUAAAUGGACUAAUAUUAUAAAAGUCCUAGAUGGUUAGGUAAGUCGUUUUCCCUUUUUAUUAUUAUGCUUCUUUUUUUUUUAACUUUCUUAAAUAUAAAUGGACUAAUAUUAUAAAAGUCCUAAAUUUUUAAGGCGUAUUUGGAAAAAGCCCUAUAUUUUUUUAUCAUUGCUAUGGCUAUAAUUUUCUCGCAGAAUUAUUACUUUAGUCCACUUAACGAGUUUCAUGGUUAACUUGGUUAAUUUUUUUUUUUCUUUUUUUUUUUUUGAAAAAUCAGUUCUAAAAAGUUCAAAUUUGGUUCCUAAGGUUUGCAAACCAUUACACCAUAUUGUUUUUUAAGUUUAUUUUUUGUUUUUUCAUACUUUAUUUAUUUUCGGUUUUCUUAAAAAUAUAUAUACAUUUUUUAUUUUCUUUAUAUAUAUAUACUUUAUUUAUUUUCAUUUUUAGUGUGUAUAUAGAGUAUAUUAGAUUUUUUUUGUUAGUUUUUUUCAUAUUUCGUUUCGUAUUAUAUUUUAACUUUUUCAUCUUUUUAUUUAUUUUUAUUUUUUUUUCUUGUUUGAUUUCCAAUUAUUUGUUUUUAUUUUUUUGUAUUUUUAAUUUUUUAUUGAACUUUUUCAAAAAAUGUUAAAUGUAUUAGUAUAUUAGAGUAUAUUACAAUUUUGAUAAUUUAUAGUUUUUGUAAUUUUUUUUAUUUUUAUUGAAGUAAAUAAAACAUUUAUGUUUAUAUUUGUAAUUUCGAUCCAACAUAUUUUAUUUUUGUUUUUUUUUUCUUUAGUAUUAUCAUAUUAAUGUUACGAAAAAAUGAAAAUUAAAAAAAAAAAAUUACCUUGUUUAUAGAGAAUUAGUGUUUUAGUAUGUUAUAUAACUUGCAAAUUAAAUCAUAUUUCUAUAUGUGAUAUCAAUAGUUUAAAUUCAAGAUAACAUUUUUCAAUUUGAUAAUAGACUAAAAGAAAUAACAAAAAAAUAAUAAUAAUAGUCAGUCUCUAUAAAAAAAAAAUUGUUAUACUAAUUUAUAUUGAUUCAAGUUCAUUUACUUAAAUCAAAAUAAAUAAAAACAUUAGAAAAACCAUAAAUAACUAAAAUAGAAAACAAAAGGUAAAAAGGUAAAAAAUCAAAUUGUUGAAAAAUAAAGUUUAAAAAUGAAAAUAAUUAAAGUAUAUAAAAAAGAAAAUAAAAAAUGCAUAUAUAUUUAUUAAAAAAAACAAAAAUAUAUAAAGUAUACAAAAAACGAAAAAUAAAAUUAAAAAACCAUGUGUAAUUUUUUGCAAACCUUUGGGACCAAAUUUGAACUUUUUAGGACCGAUUUUGCAAAAAAAUUAACCAAGUUAACCAUGAAACUCGUUAAAUGUGUUAGAGUGAUAAUUCUGCAAGAAAUUUGUGGUCAUAGCAAUAAAAAAAAAAAAAAAAAAAAAAAAAAAAAAAAAAAAAAAGACAAAAUUGCAAAAAUGGUCCCUGUGGUAUGCAUUUUUUACGGGUUUUGGUCCAAACCACGUGUAUUUUGGUUUCAUGGUCCUUUCUCCUUCCUGAUCUGCAAUCGAACAAUUGUGGUUUGUUUUUGUGGAAAACUCGCUUUGGUAAGAACGUCUUGGACGCCACUGAAUCCAAGAAGGAGGUUUUAUGCGUGCCCUACUAAGGAUUCUGUUUGCGGGUUUAUCGGGUGGGUUGAUCUGCUUAUGUGUGUUAGGAGUAAAACCAUCAUACCUGGUAUUCUAAGAAACAUAAAUACGUUGGAGGAAAGGUGUAAUGGACCGGUAAGAAGUAUGAAUAUGUUACAGGAACAGUGCAAUGGGUGUGAACCAAAAACAAUUACCAAAUUAAGCAAAUGUAACAAAAGUACAUUACCAAAAUGUAACAAAAGUACAUUACCAAAAUACAUGUCAUAAAUUGACCAAAAUGCAUAUUUCAUUAACCACAUGAGUGGAACCAAAAACAAUUACCAAAUUAAGCAUACAAGUGUCUAUGCACCAUACAUAACCACAUCAUCAAAACAUAACUAAAGUUUUCAAAAACAAAAAGUUCUUAACAACAAACAACUAAAUAGUCAUUGCGCCACAACAAACAACCAAACUCACUUCUUGGAUUGAUUUCCACAUUGCCCUUUACAGGUCCUAGAGUUGUGUCCCUUAUUCUUGCAUUUGCUACAAGUAACACUGAUAUGUUUCCUUGAUAGCUUCUGCACUCCAUCAUUUGUUGGCCCUUGGGAAGGUUCUCCUUACAUCUCAUUGACUCCAUCACCUUGACUUGCCUUCUGCCUUUUGCUUAACCUUUCACCCUCACUUUGUCUUCUUUUUUUCUUAGGCCUUCCCACUUGAGUGCGAUGUGGAGGGAUUAGCUUUGUUGGACAAUUACUUUUAGGCAACAUGGGUCUCCCUUUAAUUGGUUCCACCUUAAAUGAAUAAGCUUUUUGCCAUGUCUCUAGCCAAUACACCUUGUGUACCCACUUGUAAAUGUCAAGCUCAGCCUCAGGGUCUUUGCUCAUUUCAUUUAGAGUUGCAAUUGCAUGCCUGCAAGGUAUUCCCAUUAAUUCCCACUUUCUCUUUCUUGGUCUGAUCCUUCAUCCAAUGAUCCGAACUCCUCAUUGUUGAUCACUUCCAUAUCUUCAGGUUCAUGGCCAUGAACAUCAUCAAUACAUGCUCCUUCAACAUCACUUUCAACAUUUAGACAGAAGUCUGCCAUGUCCAUAUCAACAUCUUUUAUAUUGUUCUCCUCAUCCAUUAUGGCAUCCACUUGAUCUUCAUUUUUAGAUUGUUUCCCAUCCUCAUCGUCACCUUCAUCCUUUUCAUUGAAACGACCUGAUUUUUUAUCAAGAAAUUUUUUUCGUUUUUAAUUACUCAAACAAUUUCCAUAAUUCAUAAUUUUCCAAACCAUUUGUUUUUCCCCAAAUCACAAUUAUUACAAUUUCAAUAUACUUUGAAAACAUCAGAUAGUCCCAUCACACAAAAAGAGAGGUAGAGUGCACGCCACGUCAUCACGCCUUGCCUUUGCCCUUCGGCUCUGAAGUACCUGAAACAAUCAACAACCUGUAAGCGAAAUGCUUAGUGAGUUUCCUAGAGCAUACACCACACACACAAACCAUAUAUCACAUAUCCUGUUAGCUAUAAAAGCCACACACAUAUCACGUAAGCCAUUCAUACACGAAACCUGAGAGAAUGCCAUGGGCUACCCCACAUAGUCUUUACCUAGGACUGCCAUGGGCUCCCCCACAUGGCCUUACAUCUAAUGCCAUGGGCUACCCCACAUGGUCUUCACCUAGGACUGCCAUGGGCUACCCCUCAUGGUCUUACAUCCAUUGCCAUGGGCUUCCCCCAGGGUCUUCAUACAAAACAUGCAAUCGCAUAACAAAACACAGAAUAUCUAACACACAUGUCACAGUCACAUAAUGGGCCGGCCUUGGUGCCUUAGACCCAUAGGUAUGGUGAGAAGACUCACCUGUCACAAAUGCUGAACUGACACUUUGCGAACAAAUGUACCCCACAGGCUGCUCCACGCAACUGCCUAUAAAGUGUCAUACAGUUUCCAAUCAUUUCCCAAAGUCCAUCCUGGUCAACUUCAUUCAAGGUCAAGUCAACGGUCCAUGUUGACCCUAACUCGCCGAGUACGACUAGUAACUCGCCGAGUUUCCCCAUAAUAACAUCUACUCGUCGAGUUCAUACAGUUUGAAUGAUAAUCUAAGGUCAUUCGUCGAGUUCCCUUGCUUGACACUCGACACGUGACACGUCUACGAACAUCCAACCAUUGGGGAAAUCUUACUUGACUCGCCGAGUUGUUCCUUCAACUCGCCGAGUUCUAGGUAACCUUCAUCCGACUCACCGAGUUCUAGGCAAAAUUCAUCGGGCUCGCCGAGUUGUUCUUCCAACUCGCGGAGUCCAUGCCUGCCUUCAAAUGACUCACCGAGUCACCCCCUGUGACUCGCCGAGUCCUUUCAGAUCCUAAUCCAUAACGACCCUUUUUGAGCCAUGAAAAGCUUCCAAACUACAGAUCUAGGCUCCUGAGGCAUGCUUUCCACGUAAAGUUGCAAACUUUACGUGCAUGCAAGGCUUUAAGGCCCUAAAAUAGCAAAUCUAAACUUGCAAUGGGGUCAUACACUUGAGGGAAGGUACAUGCUAAGCUCAACUGUUAACUUUAUGCAUCUUAAGGCCAAAAGGAGUUCAGAUCUGAAGUUACAACUUCAGAUCUUGGCUUAAACACAAAAGCCCUUUCUUAGAAUCCAAACACAAGAGGGUUUUGGGUGGAAAUGAGCCAAGAGACAGCUUAAUACCUUCAGAAAGUGCUCCACAGGAGUAGAUCUAGAAUCCCCACGAGCCUUUGCUUCUUCUAGCUUGAUUCCCCAAGAGAUCCCUUCACCAAAUCCCUCCUUCAAGCUUCAAAAUCACCAAGAACACACUCACACUCGAAUAAAGGUUUUAAGGAGGUAUAGAGCUGUAAAGGGGAGGCCAAGGGAGGCUAAUGACCCCUUUAAAUAGGGUGCAAGGCCCUGGAAUCUAGGGUUUCAUCUGCCAGCAUCUACUCGUCGAGUACCAUAAUGGACUUGGCGAGUAGAUCAUUAAACCCCCGUAUCCAAACCCGCUACUACUCGACGAGUAGGGAAGCCAACUCGCCGAGUAGGUCCUCCAAGAAUCCAAACCGAAAUGUCAUCAUCAAUACCUGAGGAUCGGGGUGUUACAUUCAUACUCUUUAUCACUCUCUUCAGAUUCUCAUCCCCUUCAUACUCUUCAACAUCCUCAUCACUUCCAAGUAAAUUUUCCAUAAGGUUAUCAACAAGCUUAUUAUAUUGUUCAUCAUCAUUAACAUGUGGGGUGUUGUAGCAUCCUUCAAUAUGGUCAUUAUCCUGAACCCCAAUCAUCUCAUCCCCUACAUUAGCAAUAUUUGAAGUAAAUGGCUUGUAGCAUCCUAUAACAACAGGGACCAUUUUUGCAAUUUUGUCUAAAAAAAUAUUAAGACUUUUUCCAAUUACGCUUUAAAAAUUAAGGGCUUUUAUAAUAUUAGUCCAAUAUAAAUAGAAAAUAUAAACUAUUUACGAUGCCUUAUUUUAGACAACACUAGAAAAUGGCCACCCGUGGUGUUGGUGACAAUUUUAUUGAUAACUGGGACUUAAAAACCCAUGCCAAAUACAAAAAUGAAACAUGGUUUUACAUGACUAUUUAUGUUCUUUUUUCAAUUUUGCAAUGAACAACACCACCUUCACAUGAACCCAAUCUUCAAAGCUAUCAAGAAAUAUAAAAAAUGCAUAUCUUCCACGACGGUUGAGGAGUAAAGCACCACAUGCUAUCCAAAAUCCAAAAGUGAAACCAGUGGCCCCACCAAUAUAGAACCAUACAUCAAGUUCAUCUAUACCUUCACCCUCACUUUCACCAAUGCUAUGUUGUGUUCCCGAUUCUUCAUCUCCAGGACAUUUUUUGGUAAUGGGAGGUCCACAAAGCCCUAAGUUCCCUUCGUAUCUUGAAGGGUCAAAGGACUGAAGUUGUGUGCUGGAUGGGAUUCUCCCUAACAAGUUAUUGCAUGACACGUCUAGGUAACUCAAUAAGGUCAUUUGAGACAUGCUUGAUGGUAUUUCUCCUGAAAACUUGUUUCUAGAUAAAUCCAAAGUUAAAAGAUUUUUCAUCUCACUGAUGUUCCAUGGGAUCUUUCCAAGAAGAGCGUUCUUUGACAAGUUGAGUGCAAUCAGCUCAUCAAGAUUGGUAAUCUGAUAUGGGAUUUCCCCAGUUAAUUUGUUGCUUGACAGGUCGAUGCUCCUCAACAACUUCAUAUUACUUCUGAUGAAUUCACGUUCAGUUCCUUGCCACUGGAUCAUCACAUGGUCAACAUUAUAUGAAUAUCUUCCUAAUGAAAUGCCACGAUCUAAAUUCUGUAGUUGAGAGACUCCUUGUUGCACCAUGAUCGUAAGAUUACUCAAACAUGAGGGGAUGCUUCCAUGGAAAUGGUUCACGGACAAGUCUAGAAUUUGAAGACUUGCUAAUUGACAUAAUUGUAAAGGGAUGCUUCCAGAGAAGUUGUUUGAUCUUAACAUAAGAACAUACAACCCAGAUAAGCUUUCCCCAAUCCAAACAGGCAAAUUACCAGAAAACUUGUUGGCCCCCAAAUUCAAUGACUUUAAGCUCGUGCAAUUCUUAACAGACAAAGGAAAUUCUACAGAGAAAUCGUUCUUGUAUAAAUCCAAUGCCUCUAGCUUAAUCAUAGAUCCAAGAGAGGCAGGAAGCCUUCCAGAAAGAUUAUUGUGUUCUAAAUUAAGAACUUUUAGUUCUUUGAAAUGCCACAAACAGUCUGGAAGUUGUCCGCUUAGAAAGUUAUGGGAGAGGUCAAGAAUAACUAAAAAGCCAUGGACAAUCUGGCAUAAAAAGGAGAUUCCUCCAGAGAGUUUGUUUCUGGAAAGAUUUAGUAAUGCCACAGUGGAAGAGACAUUAGUUAUUGGACCAUCAAAGCUGUUGAAGCUUAAAUCUAUCACUGAAUUGUUAUCAAAAUUUGAUGACAGAUCUGGUAGUUUGCCGCUUAUGUUGUUGGAAGAAAGAUUCAGGAAUAUCAACCGGGAAGGCCAUGAGUCCCAAAACUCGAGAGGAAUAGUAUCUGAAAUACCAUUAUUUGCAAUAUCAAUACUGGUUAGAUUUUUCAACUUUUGAAUCCAUUUGGGGAAGAGAGGCCCCAGCUUGCAAGAGCUUAGUUGAAUAUAUUCUAUAUGAGAAUGGUUUGACAUGUAAUCUGAGGAAGGAAAUUCUUGGAGUGAGUUUUCGGAAAGAUCAAGAUAUUCAAGGUUGGGCAGUUCCCACAGUUUCUUACUUAUAGUUCCUUUUAACUGAUUCUCAGAGAGGUAUAGAUCUGUUAGGGAUGUGAACUUUUGGAUGUCAUCAGGCAAUGACCCUGUAAAUUGGCUGCUUUGAGCAAACAACCAUUGUAAUGAAAGCGAUGUGCAUCCAGACAAGUUGUUGAGAAAAUCAGGAAAUGUGACUACAACAGAGUUCCUAUCAAAUCUCAAACUUACCAAACUACAGAGGUUACCAAGAUAUUUGGGUAUCCCAUCUAACAUGUUUCUGGAGAGAUCAAGAUCACUAAGCUUAUUGCUGGUUAAUGGGAAUAACCAACGAUACAUGGAUGAGUUGAGAUUGUUGUUACUAAGAGAAAGGAAUUCAAUAGAUGAAGAAGAAGAGUUGAGAAAUGAAGAACACGGAUACAUGACUUGUGACAGCUCACAUCCAUCUAAACUUAAAAGCGAGAGUUUCGGGAGACUGAGAAUAACAUCUACCCAAUGAUUUGUUUUGGCCAGUGAAAUCCCAUCCAUUCUUAAUCCCUCCAGAUGAGACAGAGGAGACAACCACUCAAGGUUCUCAAGUCUACACCUUCCAACAUUUGAAAGGGAAAGCCAUUGCAAGUUGGUGAGGUUUCCCAACUCUGGAGGAAUGGUUCCAUAAAGAAAGUUAUCGGAAAGGUCAAGCUGCCUUAAUUCAGUCAAGGAACCAAUGGACCUGGGAAUGGUUCCAUUAAGAUUAUUGCCGCCAAGGUCAAGGUGCCUUAAUUGAGUCAACGAACUAAUGAUCAUGGGAAUGGUUCCAUGAAAAGAAUUUUCUGAAAGAUCAAGACGAAUCAAGUAGGUUAAGUUAACCAAUGAAUGGCUAAUCUCACCUACAAGACCACAGUUCAUCAGAUCAAGCUCUGUGACAUGACCACCUGUUUGGUUGUUGCAUGUUACUCCACUCCAUUGACAGCAGUUGUCUUGUUCAGCUGUCCACGUAGAGAGGCGAUCAGAAGGGUCUUGAAGGAGAGAUUUGAAAUGAAGGAGACCAUCUUUCUCCUUCUCAAAACACUUAUCAUCUCCUCCUCCCACUGCUGCCAAUUGGUUGGCAGUUGCAGUCUCAAGACAAAGCAAGAUAAGUGAGAAUAUUAUAAAAACACAACGAUGCAUAAUUUAACUGCAAAUCUUGGUGAUUUUUUGUUUGUGAUGAAAAUUUGAAGAUGCCCCAUGAAGGUUUAUAUAGUGC
rnacentral:lncRNA from 1 species